UAUCAAAAUUCUUAGCACGAGUAAAGAAAUAUGGCGAUAUAGCUAGGAAGUUUGUGUAAUGGCUGAAUCGAAAAUGGAAAAAUAUUUUGUAAUGGACUCUUUUGAUAAAUGAAAUGCCUAAAUAGGGGCCGUCUUGAAAUCAACACUAAAUUCUUGCAUAUUCAUGCAUGACUAACAUUCAUUUGACAUUUAUGCAUUCAUUCAGUCAUUCAUUCAUUCAUUGCAUAUCCCAUAUUCAUUCGCUGAGGUUAAAACAUACAAUUUGCAGUUGUAAUACCACAAGACUGGAACCACGUCAUUUGUAUAGGACACGUCGACAAGCUAGAGUAAUGGAGGCUGAAUUCAAUGAAAGGAUGGAAAGAAUCCAAAGGGAAUUACAAGAGCAGUUGGCCAAGUCGCAGCAAGAGACAAGAGACUUAAUGGUGAGAUCUCGAGAAGAAUUGCUCGAACAGAAGGACCAAAUGGCUAAGAUGAUGGAAAUGAUGUCGGCUCUGGUAAAAGGAAAGGGACUUAUGAACCCUGACGUUGUGGAACCACAGUCAAGGGUUAACCUCGAUCAGGAUCCGCCCCAUCCUCCAAGAUUUACUCCACCGCACGCCCACACAACAAAAAGAGGGUACGCUCAAUGGGAACCUACAGGCCUGGAGCAACGACCUGCGCCACCUACCAAUCUGGGGAAAGGAAUAUUCGUAUCAAACCCGGAGGCUAGUCCUGCUAAUCCACUCGUUCCAGAUUUGGACGAUCCAGCAGAGAUAGCCAGGUAGAAAUUGGAUGAUCACGAUGCAAAGGAGAAAUAUAGGAGCCUAGAGGAAAGGCUCAAGGCGAUAGCGGGCACUGAAGUCUUCUCUACACUGAGCGCUAAAGAGCUCAGUUUGGUACCCGAUUUAGUUUUGCCUCCAAAGUUUAAGGUACCGGAUUUUGAAAAGUACGAUAGGACAAGAUGCCCAAAAACUCAUCUCAUCAUGUUUUGCCGGAAGAUGACCGGUUAUGUGAAUGAAGAUAAGCUACUCAUACAUUUUUUUCAGGAUAGUCUAGUAGGAUCGGCUCUUCGGUGGUACAACCAGCUUAGUAGGGAAAAGAUCCGAUCCUGGAAGGACUUGGCGUCAGCAUUCUGUGAGCAGUACAAGCAUGUAUCGGAUAUGGUGCCUGAUCGAAUGACUCUACAAAUGAUGGAAAAGAAACCACCAGAAACCAUUAGGCAAUACGCUCAAACAUGGAGAGACGUCUCGGCCCAAGUAGAACCUCCGCUAACAAAAACGGCGAUAACCGUCCUCUUUAUCAACACCUUAAAGGCGCCGUUUUAUGACAAACUAGUGGGAAGUGCCACGAAUGACUUUACGGAUAUUGUAAUAUCCGGUGAGCUUAUAGAGAAUACCGUCAAGAGCGAUAGAAUAGAAGGUCAGGAAAGUUCAAGAAGGGUAGCGCCCAUGAAGAAGAAAGAACCAGAAGCCCAUAUGGUGGGAAUGGGAAGCCGUUAUACCCCUAAUUCAUAUUCAAACCAACCCCGACCUCGAAAUUAUCCACCUCUAAAUUUCUAUUAUCCUCCUCAAACCCCUUACUACCAAGCACCACCUCCUUCCUACCCCGUAUACGCCAUAAACAACCAAAGACCCGUCGCCACAUUCUCACAAAGCACUAUACCCUCUUAAAGCCAACCCAGAAACGAACCAAUACCAGCAAGGCCCAAUCCUGAGAGACCGCAAUUUACUCCUAUCCCUGUGUCGUAUGGGGAAUUGUACCCAAAUCUUUUAGAAAAAUAAUUGGUAUCUCCCCAUUAUAUGGCACCCCUAAAACCCCCGUACCCGAAAUGGUACGAUCCUAACGCUAGUUGUGUAUAUCACGCUGGGAACCAGGGACACUCUACGUCCAAGGAUUCAUCGAUGCGGGCAUUCUGUGAUUUAAUGGUAUUGGCGGUACGGCCGGGAACCCAUUCCCAAACCACACCAAAAGGAAUGCGAGCGUAGUGGGAGAAGAGGACAAACGGUAAAAUAGAAGAUGGGUUUCUGAAAUAAGAACACCUCUGCAGAAAAUCUGGAAGGUACUAGUUAAAAAGGGGUUGCUCUGUCAUCUUAACAGAGUAUUCGAAAGAAGAAAUGCAAAAGGCCAAAGUUUUUGCGAAUUCCAUGGUAUUGAGGGGCACGACAUUCAGUCCUGCGAGGAGUUCAGAAGAUUACUACAAAAUAUGAUGGAUAAUAAGGAGAUUGGGAUUUUUUAUAAAAGCGAAGAGGCUGAUAGAAGAGAAAUAUGUGCCUCUGACAAUCAAUCGUCAGGUUUUCCGUAUAGCACCGACCAACCGUUAAUAAUUUAUUACGACGCGAAGAAGGAGCUGGUGAAACCAAAAGUGAUAAUCGAAGUACCAUCUCCUUUCCCUUACAAGGAUGACAAGGCGAUACCGUGGAAAUACGACAUCAACAUCAUCACACCUGAAGGUGAAAAGUCCGAAACCAUAACCGGAAGUGUUAGAGAAGUAGGUCAUUUCACCCGCAGUGAGAGGUGUUAUUCUAAAAAAGUUGAGCCGGCAAAGAAAAAUAGUAACUUGAAAUAGAAAAGAAAAGCACCGAUGCACGUGACCGAAGAUGAGCAUGAAACUGUGCCUGAACAAGAAGCUAAAAAGCCUGUGGACGAGGAGGAAACACAAGAAUUCUUAAAAUUUAUCAAGCAUAGUGAAUAUAAUAUGGUGGAACAAUUGAAAAAGCAACCAGUACGAAUCUCGAUUUUAUCUCUACUGUAAAACUCAGAGCCACACCGGAACGCUUUGCUGAAGGUGUUAAAUCAAGCUUACGUAGCAAACAACAUAUCUGUUGAGAAGCUUGAUAGGUGGGUGAAUAAUCUGAACGCUGACAAUUUCAUCUCUUUUCAUGAUGAUGAGAUACCGCCAAACGGUAGAGGCUCAGUGAAAGCACUGCAUAUUACGAAUCGCUGCGAGGGCUACAUAAUACGAACGUGCUCAUCGAUAAUGGGUCAGCACUCAACGUCAUGCCUUUAGGCACACUUUCUAGAAUCCCGAUGGAUUUGUCCUAUUUAAGGCCCUGUCAUUCCAUAGUAAGGGCAUUCGAUGGGACAAGACGAGAAGUCAUGAGAAAGAUUGAGAUCCCUCUGGAAGUGGGCUCUUAUAUAUACGAUGUUGAAUUUCAAGUCACGGACAUUACACCAUCAUACAAUUGCCUCUUGGGAAGACCUUGGAUCCAUUCUGCUAGAGCAGUUCCGUCCCCUCUCCAUCAAAAAGUGAAGUUUAUCAUAGAUGGUUGUUUAGUCACUGUCGAGGGAGAAGAAGACAUUGUCGCAUCUAUCUCUACCGAUGCACCGUACCUGGAAGUGAGCAAAGAUACAAUAGAAUGUUCCUUCUGAUCCUUAGAAUUUGUCAAUGCCACUUUUGUUGCUGAAGGAAAUAGAAUUCCCAUGCCUAAGCUGUUAAGGAAUACCAAGUUGGGAGUUGAGCUGAUUGUGGGAAAAGAAGCCCAAGCAAGGAAAGGUUUGGGAAGGUAUCUGCAAGAAAUAGUCAGGGUUCUAAAGCCAGUGCACCACAAGGCCCGAUACUGUUUGGGGUUCCGGCUGAACAUGCGUCAAAGAAGAAAAUAAUGGAAGAAAGAUCAAGAAAGAAGGAUCGCAAGAACCUUAGGCUGAGAAAUAGAAUGGGGGCCCAUAACGUACCCUCCUUUGUCAAAAACAUUUACAUCUACAGGAAUGAUAUAUCCCGGACAAGAUAAUCCACGAAGCACACUGUUGAAAAAACAGUUUUUCAUGGCGUAAAAAUAUGAAAAAACAGCUUAAUAUAACUCUUCCAUAGCGUUUUUCUGAUGAGAAUGCAGAAAAAUAAAGAGAAAUCUAGAUAAUUCCACUUUAGUCCUAGCUUUAUUAAGUAAAUUUUGCAAUUUUUCAAAUUUUCCCUUAAUUCUCCUUAUUUUCUUGCUGAUUUCAUGCCCUUGCCGUCCAGCCCAAAUAUAAUUUGGGUCUAUUUUCCCUUUAAACCCUCUUUCUUUUAUCAACUAAGCUAUUUAAUCAUUUCUCACAAUUUUGCAUUUGAUACAAUUUAGUCCUUUUUGUUCAAUUAACUAUCAGAACUUUAAAAUUUCUUGAAGAAACUUUAAUACUAACAUAUUAACACUCCAUAAAUAUUUAUAAAAAUAUUUAUGGCUCGAUUUAAAAUUAUCGAGGUCUCGAUACCUCGUUUUCGAUUCUAAUUAUUUUAAUAUUUAUUUUUAGUACACUAUUCACUAUUUCAAAAUUUCUCCUAGCUUCACUUUUAAUUUAUACUCACUAAAUUAAUAAUAUUUCCUACUCAUUUUUCGGAUUUAGUGAUCUCGAAUCACUGUUCCGACACCACUGAAAAUUAGGCUGUUACACAACAUAUCCAGAAGAUAUGUAAUUUGCCUUUACAGGAAAAGAUGUCAACUAUCUUAUAUGAAGAUAAUACUACAUGUAUAGCUCAAUUGAAGGGUGGUUACAUCAAAGGUGAUAGAACGAAACAUAUUUCACCAAAAUUAUUAUUCACCCAUGAUCUUGAGAAAAGACGUGAUAUAAAUGUUCAACAAAUUCGUUCUAGUGAUAAUUUAGCAGACUGUUUUACUAAGGCAUUGCCAAUUUCACCAUUUGGAAGACUACUACAUAAGAUUGGAUUGCGUCAACUCAAAGAUGUAAUGUAAUGUUGCCAUCAGAGGGAGUCUAAAAACAAGUUGUACUCUUUUCCUUUAACCAAGGUUUUGUCCCAUUGGGUUUUCCUGGUAAAAGUUUUUAACGAGACAGUUGUAAUAAAAGAUUCUGUACUCUUUUUCCUUCAUUAACUUUUUUAUCCCACAGGAUUUUUCCUAAUAAGGUUUUAACGAGACACAUUAUCUACCAAUAGGCAUCCAAGGGGGGGUUUCCCAAUAAGUACAUUCUUUAUUGCUUUCAUAUUUUCUUUAUUCUUUAUUCUCACCAUAUUUCUUUAUUUUAUAAUAAUAAUUAAUUAUUUUCUCCAUUUAUUUUCUAAUAUUCUUCGAGGUUGAUAUCAUUUGCAUAAUCCUAUGGUUUCAAAAAAGGAAAAAAAAAGUUUUAGAUAAAGAAUCGAUAACUCAACUAUUCUUUAUAUAUGCUUUUAAAAAAAAUGUAUAUAUACAUGCAUGAUACUAAUUGACACAUUAAUUAAUGUUAUGAGUUAAUUGGACAUCAAUUCAAUUACAAAAAAAAAAUUAAAAAAUUAAAAAUUUUAAAAACAAUAAACUUUAUUAUAAGAAUAUUUAUGUUUUUCCAUACUUUAUAAAUUUUUUUAAAAUAAAUAAUUUAAAUUACUAGAAAGGAUGUAUGAAACUAUGAUUCCACGUCAUCCUAAUCAUUUUCCAAUGGAAGAAUGAAAAAUAAGAUUUUUUUUCUCUUGAUUUUUAGCUUUUUUCUGCUGAAAAAAAAUCAAAUCCAACUAAAAAUGCUAAAAAUUAAGAGAAAAAAUCUGAUUUGUCAUUCUUUUAUUGGAAAGGGAUAAGGAUGAUGUGAAAUCACAGUUUCAUACAAUCCUUUCUCUUAAACUACAACUUUAAAAUAAAUUAAAAAAAUAAAUGUUAAGCUUGAAAAUUCUUUAGAUAAAUGUUGGUUUGAUUUUAUAAAAUUUUUCAUAGUGACUUGUGUAUUACAUAAACCUGUACAAACACACAAAUAAUACCAAUAAAAAUUAUCAAUAUAUUUUCACUUCGGAUACAAAUAAUCAAAUUUCUUAUUUUCUCUCUCAUAUUUAUUCUGGUUAGUUGUUUAGUUAAUUAAUUUGAAUUGAAUUAAUUGUAUGGAAUCAGGGGGCGAAGUUAAAAAAAAUUUUGGACCGAAAUUAAAUUGUAAUUUUUACUAUAGGAAAAAUGUAAUUUUAUCAUGUUAAUAGUCUAUAUCUUUAUAUUUUUAAAUGAUUAAAUAAAAUUUUUAUCAUUUUUAAGGGGGCAAAGUAUAAUUUACCUUUACUAAUUUAAAAUUUUAAAAUACCUAAAUUCAAAAUUUUUCAUUUUAAGAAGAGCCGGGGCCCUGGCCAAUCCCCUAACUACACCCUGUAUGGAUUAAUACUAAUAUUAUAUUAGUUAGUUAUUAGGUCUAAUUGUUUUUUUUUUGCAAAGUUAGUAAAAUACAAAAAGGAUUGUUGAGAACAAUCCAAACAAGUUCAAUAACAGUUUUUUUAAAAAACGAAAAAAACAAAACAGCCUAGCAAAUAUUACUAAGCUGACAAAAACAACUUCAGUACUUGACUUUUGCAGAAAACAACAGACCAACCAAACAUCAUCCACUCUGCUUUAGCAGCAACUCACCAAGCAGCUUUAAAGAAGUUUUUCCUUGACAUGCCUGCCUUUGCUAAACUUUCCCCCAUUCCAUUCUUUUUAUGAUUAGUGACUGCAAAUUAGAUUUCAGCAAUAUGUCUACAUCCAUCUUCAAUUUCCGCAAAUAACUUCCUUAGCGACCAUGGACGAAGAUUUCUAUAUUUCAACCAAUUCGAUUAGCUUAUUUGACUUGUAUUUAUUUUGAUUAGCUUAAUUAAUUAAUGUGUAUUUAAGAUAUAAUCAAACUACUUGAUUUCAAGUUAAAUUAAUAACAUAUGAAUUAUUAUUAAUUACAUAAAAUUAUAACAUCUUAACUUGUAAACAUCUAUAGGAUAAAUUUUUAUCAUAAAUCAACUAUAACUUUACAGUAUCUUAAAUUUGAUUCCUUUGAACAAUAUUGUCCAGCAAGCAUAAGAACCUCCUUUUCCAAAAGCUUCAAAUUCUAUAUAUAUAUAUAUAUUUAUUAAAUUUGAUUCUUGAUUUUAUGUUACUUGUUCUUAUCAUAUGUAUUAUAAUUUUAUUUCAGUUUAUGCUCAAAACAUAACUGUAUAUAUACAUAUGACUUUAUCCAUACACAUAUGUCAUUUGCCUCUUCAAUAACGUUACUUUGAUAACAAAAUCUCUCAGAAAGAGAUUUAAAAACCUAGCAAAUUUGAUAGAACAGACAAAUUUGCAUAAAAUUCAAUAAAAGUUUCAUUCACUAGCAUUUCGAGAGUCAAAUUUUAUGAUUAGCAUCUAUAGCUUCAAUUGUUUCAAGAAUAUCACAUUUUUCUUCCACAAAAUGGCAUUCAAAGCCUUAAAAUUGGUUGCAAUUUGCAAGAGGUUCCCUUCCAAUGAGAAUUGCAUGCCGAGUCUUUUCAUCGAUUGAUUUUAUAAAAGUCUUCAUCCUUGCCUUUCAAUAUGUCUAAUUGGAUCCAUCCAACAUGGGGUUGUGAUAAACCUCAAAAGUAACAUAUUUUAAUCCUAUGCUUGGCAUAUUUUUGGAUGAUUUAUCAUAAGAUUUAGUGGAUUUGAUGCUCCUAAUCCUUUAAUUUCAUGUUUUAUAUCUAGAUAAGCAUAGGAAAGCAAAAAGUGCAAGAAAAAGGCCAAAAACGGACAGAAUGGGUUUAUUUCAGUGCUUCACACGGCCUGGACACUUCCACAUGGGUAAUCCACAUGCCCGUGUGAGACACACGGGUAGGCUAGACGCCCGUGUGUCAUGGCCGUGUCAACUUAAAACCAUGUCAAAAUUACACACUGCCUGAGCACCAUCACACGGUCGUGCCACACUGCUGUGUCCCUGUCGAGACCUAUUUAAUUCUACUCGAAAAAGUCUAAUUUUGGGCUAUUUUUGGGCAUUCGAAAGUCUAUUUAAACACACGAGAAGAGGAUCAAAGGACAAGGGGUAGAAGGCAGAGAAUACUGGAAGAUAGCCAUCGGAAUCAGCUCGAAAGCAGGAUCUACUUCAAGACUGAAGAUCUCCAUUCAAUUUCCUUAAAAGUUCUUUGGGUUUCUUUAUGUUUUGUUGUUUUCCCAAUUUUGAGAUGUUUUCCCUCAUCGUUAUGAACUAAACUCCCUAAAUAUCUAAGGGAGAUGAAACUUAAGACAAAUCUUAUUACUAUUUGAAUUAUAUGAUAAAUACUUGUUCUUAUUCUUAAUUAUGUGUUCUUAAUUCUUGCUUUAAUAUUUCAGGAUAUUAAUUCAAGUCUGAUGUGCCUAUUUAGUAGAGCAAAAGUCCCUGUUUAAGAGUAGAUCUAGCAUAAUUAAGCGGAGUUGAAUGCAAUUCUAGACAUAGGAUGACGUAAAUCUGUCGGAUUAGAGUCAAAUCUAAUAAGGGAAUCCAUAGAUCGAGUUAAUGUGAUAAUAGAGAUUUUAAUUAGAAAGAUAUUUCAAUUAAUCAACCUAGAGUCAGUUGUUUUUAGUCUUGAGAGAGAUAUUAACAUAAAUCAGGGACUUUUGCUCUACUGAAUAAGCACAUCAAACUUGGAUUAAUAUCCUGAAAACAUUAAGGCAAGGAUUAAAAACACAUAAUUAAGAACAAGAACAAGUAUUUAUCAUGUAAUUCAGAUAAUUAAAUAAAAAGAUUCGUCAUAGGUUUCAUCCUCCCUAGGUAUUUAGGGAGUUUAGUUCAUCAUGUAAAAGGAAAACAUCUCAAAUUUAGAAAAAUAGCAAGACAUAAAAAACCCAAAUAAACUUCGAGAGAAAUUUGAAUGGAGAUUUUCAAUCUUGAAAUGGAUCUGCUUCCAGGAUUAUUCCAACGGCUUUCUUCGAAUAAUUUUUGCUUUCUUCUCCGUGUGUCCUUAGGUCUUCUUAUAGUGUGUUUAUAUAGAAUUUAGAAUGCUCAGAAACCCUAAAAAUUAGCUUUUUCUGCGUGUUUGGGAAAUAGGGAGCGAUAUCAACACGAGCAGGACACAUGGGCGUGUGACCAGCCCGUCUUGUAACGACACAAAAUUCGUGGGAUCGAAAAAGUACAUUAUCAGGCCUCCGUCUUAGCGAAACGAAGACAAAUCGAAGAAAAAUUCAUCCUAAUAGUAAUAUGAGAAAAUUACUUAAACACAAGACAUAAUUCAGAGAUUUUCUGAUAACCAUAUAAAUAAUCUCCCUACACUUAAGAUGUAUAUUGUCCUCAAUGUACGAAAAUAGAUAAUCACAGUAGAAAUAUAAAUAUCAUAAGAGAGGAAGAGAAUUGAAACUGUCCUGAAUAUUGGAUGAAAUUCCCAAAAUAGUGAAAAGCAGAAUUGUAGAUAAAUGUAGAGGUAGUGCAAAAUUCUGAGCAACUGAUAAGAAGAUAAAUACAAUACUGAAGAGGAUUAAGAAGGUUACUCGAUUAGAAACAAACAUAAUAAUUAAAAUAAAGUUCAAAAUAUAAAAACAAAAUAAAAAUAAAAAUAAAGAUAAAAAUAAAAAAAUAAACACAAAGAUAAAUGAACUCAAUGGUCCUCAUCAUCAGAUUGAACAAUGUCACGAGCCAGUGGCGCUGAAGGAGAAAUAUGAAAAUGCUGCUGCAAUGUGGCAUCAAUACUGUCAAACCUCUCAGCACAGUACUGAUGGAAACUGGUGAAUUCCUCGUAGGAUACUCCUCGAGAGCUAGUAGCAGAGGGAGUGUGUCGGUGACUCGAUGGUGGAGGCUAUGGUGGGUCCUCGUGAUAGGGAGGAACAUCAUCAGUGAAGUCCUCUAGGUCAUGCUGAACGUCAGACUGGACUAGUCUGUACUGAGGGGGGUCCACUCCAUGUCGCCGCUCGAUCAUCCUCAUGUGGAUCAUACUCGAGAUGCCCUGAAGGGACAUUUGACCAACUAGGGUGAGUGUCGAGGACUACUCCGAAGUGUUGAGAAGAUCGAAGUGUCGAGCGAGGCGAGUCACGUAAGGACUAGACAGAUGGGGCCCCUCUCAUGGCGGUCAAUAUGAUGGCGGAAAGAUAAAGCGAUAAAGUACGACAAAUCCAUAAUAUGGCCGUAGGCCAUGCUCCACAAGAAGUAUGCGUCAUGCGUGCUCACGACUCCAGUGCUCUCUCUCCGUCCUGUCAAUGUGUGAGCGAGGAGUGCGUGAAUAUAUCAUAGGGCCGGAGAGAGAGAAGUCGCCUUCAAGCGACUUGCGUCAUAUGGAGUCUGGCCACCGGUGAGAUCGGUCCAACAACGCGAAAGCGAGUGAUAGAUGUGUCGAUGAAGCUGAAGGAAGUCCUCGGCAGACAUGAACUCCUCUGUGUAGAGUCUCAAAGUAGCACCAAACUUGAUAAACCGUAAUUUAUACAUAUUUUUAUCCCAUGCUUAACAUGUUUUUGGAUGAUUUCUCCGUAGAAUUGGUGAAUUCGAUGCUCCUAAUCUUUUAAUUUCAUGUUUUAUACUUAGGUGAACUUAGGACAGUAAAAAGAGCGAGAAACGGGCCGAAAAUAGAGAAAAUGGGCUAACAUAAUAAAUCAAAACGGCCUGGACUUCCUCACAAGGGUAGACCACACGGUCGUGUCAGUUUGGCAGAAUCGAAACACGACUCACACGGGUAGACCAUACGCCCGUGCCUAUUUAACAUCCUCGACCACGGCUUGAAGCCUAUUGCACACGGGCGUGUCCCUGUCGAGCCCAAGUAUAGUCCUAUUUGAAAAAGGCCACUUUUGAGGGCUUUUAGGCAUUGUAAAACCCUAUAUAAACACCCUAGGACAAGAGGAGAAAGGGACGCAGGGUAGGAAGGAAUGAAUUACUCGAAGAAAGCCGAUUGAUCCAUCUCAAAAGCCGGAUUCACCUUCAAGACGGAAUAUCUCCUCUCAACUUCCCUUUAGGAGUUUUGGGUUUUCUUUAUGUUUUGUAUUCAUUAUUCUUCUGAGAUGUUUUAUUUUAUAAUUAUGAACUAAACCCCUAAAUACCUAAGGGGAAAGAAACCUAAGAUGAAUCUUGUUAUUAUUUAAUUCUUGCUUCAAUAUUUCAAAAUAUUUUUUCAAGUUUAUGCACUUAUUCGGAGGAGCAAAAGUCCCUGUCUAAGAGUAACUUUGACAUAAGUAAGCAGAGUUGAUUGCACGCCUAGACAUAGGGUGACAAGAUUUUGCCGAAUUAGGGUGAAACCUAAUAAGGGAAUCCAUAGAAUGAAUUAAUGCAACACUAGGGAAUUAAUUAGAAAAAGAUUUCAAUUAAUCAACCUAGGGUUAGAAAUUGUUAGUCUCGAUGGAGAUAAUAAUAUAACUUAGAGAUUUUUACGGAUCAAGUCAAAUGAAUAAAUCGUCCGAUUUAGAGUCAAAUAACAAGUAAGUCUAGGUGGAUUUUUCCUUGGGUAUUGUCUUAAUCAAUCAGUUUUUCCUAAAAGUAUUUUCCCCAAUUUUCUCUCUGUGCACCUUUAGUUUAGAUAAUUAGUUUAGAUAAACAAAUUUCUUAAUUUUUAGGCUAGAUAAUAACAAGAAAGUAAUUACUAGUACUUUUAGUUCUUUUGGGUUCGACAAUCCAGUCUUGCUAAAGCUAUACUACUGUUCGAUAGGUACACUUGCCUUUUAUCGUGAUAAUAGUUAGUUUCAAGAAUGAUUAAUUAUAAAUAUUUAAAACCUGUCGCGAAUAUCACAUAUCAAGUUUUUGGCGCCGUUGCUUGGGAACUAAGAUAUUAGGAACACUCAAUUUUUAUUACUUUAGCCAUUUAAUUUUAUUACAAUUUAAAUUUUGUUUUGAUUUUAUGUUACUAAAUUCUCUUUUUCCUUCUUCUGGCAGGUUCUUAUAGUUUAUGACUAGAAGAAACCCGUCAGGACCAUUACUCUUUGACGGUGAGAUCGAACGAACAGUUUGCAAAAACCAAAGAGAAAUAAAGUAAAGCUUAAGAUACACAGGGGAAGAGCAAGAGGACGAUAUUCAAACCACAACCGAGGAGAUGGCUGAAAAUCGGUAAAACCCGAUACCUCUUGCGAUUGUUGCUGAUCCAGUAAAUUAGAAUCCUACUCCACGCACUAUGUAUGAUUAUGCUAAACCUACUUUAACAGGAACUGAAUUGAGUAUAGUUAGACUUGCUAUUGCUGCAAAUAAUUUUGAAUUGAAACCUAACACAAUUCAAAUGAUACAACAGUUUGUUCAGUUUGAUAGUUUGCAGGAUGAUGAUCCAAAUACUCAUUUGGCGAAUUUUUUGGAAUUCUGCGAUACUUUUAAAAUUAAUGGCAUUUUUUACGAUGCCAUACGUCUUCAGUUGUUUCCCUUUUGGUUGAGGAACAAAGCUAAAUAGUGGUUGAACUGGUUACCACGAGGGUCAAUUACUACUUGGGAACAAAUGACUGAAAAGUUUUUAUUAAAAUAUUUUUCGCCGGCUAAAACGGCUAAAUUACAUAAUGAUAUCUCUUCUUUUGUGCAGAUAGAUUUAGAAACAAUUUACGAUGCAUGGGAGAGAUACAAGGACCUCUUAAGAAGAUGCCCUCACCAUGGGUUAGCACUCUGGCUACAGGUUCAAACGUUUCACAAUGGCCUAAACCCCUCGACUCGACAAAUGGUUGACGCAGCCGCUGGUGAAUAACAAAACAACUGAAGAGGGUUACGAAUUUAUAGAAGAAAUGUCACUGAAUAAUUAUCAGUGGAAAGUUAUGAGGACAAAACUGACGAAAGCAGCAGGUGUUUUUAACUUCGAUUCAGUCACUAUGCUCUCAAAUCAGGUAGAACUUUUCAAUAAGGAAAUUGGCAGUUUACUUAGUUCUCCACAGGUACAGCCAAUGAUGAGAUGUGAUUCAAACGGAGGAGGAAUAUACACAAAUGAUCCAACAUUCAAAACGAAGGAUGAGUAUACACAAAUGAUCCAACAUUCAAUCCUAGCACCGAGGAGGAACAAGUUCAAUCUAUGGGUAAUAAUAAUUCUAGACCUCAAAAUAACCCAUACAGUAAUACUUAUAAUGCAGGUUGGAGGAACCACCCCAAUUUUUCAUGGGGAGGUCAAGGGAAUCCAAGGUCACAAGAUCCUCCAAGUUUUCAACAACCUCCUUACCAGUAGGAAAAGAAGCCGAACCUUGAAGAGAUGCUCACAAAAUUUAUCUUGGUGUCAGAAACUCGUUUUCAGAAUACUGAAACAGCACUUAAAAAUUAACAAGCGUCAAUCUAAAGACUCGAAACUCAAAUAGGACAGCUUGCCAAGUUGAUUUCUGAACGACCACAAGGUAGCCUGCCAAGCAACACUAAAUCUAACCUAAUGGAGCAACUCAAUGUGAUUACUACUCAAAAUGGGGAAGGAUUAGUUACACUAGAACCAGAACCAAGGCAAGAAACUGUGGUAAGAAAAGGUAAAGGUGAAGCAGGCCACAAUGAGUAGAAAUCGGUAAGUGCAGAAUACAAACCUCGUGUGCCCCCUCAGACAAACAAUUUGGUAAAUUUCUCAAACUAUUAAAGAAAUUACAUAUUAACUUCCGUUUAUUGAAGCUUUUUCGCAGAUAUUGAAUGCAGUCAAAUUUUUAAAGGAGCUUCUAGCAAAUAAAAGGAAGUUAGAUGAAGCGUCGCAUGUGGAGCUAAACGCAGUUUGCUCAGCCAUUCUACAGAAUAAGCUGCCCAACAAAUAAAAAGAUCCAGGGAGUUUUACGAUUCCUUGUUUAAUUGGUAGCUUAGAUGUUAAUAAUGCGUUGGUUGAUUUAGGGGCUAGUAUUAAUGUCAUACCUUAUAAAAUGUUUAAGCAACUAGGUCUUCGGAAACCCAAACAAACUAAGAUGAGUAUUCAAUUAGCAUACAAAACUAUUAGAUUUCCUAGGGGUAUUAUUGAAUAUGUACUUGUUAAAAUUGACAAAUUUAUAUUCCCAGUUGAUUUUGUUGUUCUAGACAUAGAAGAGGACAGUAACACUCCUUUAAUUUUAGGAAGGCCCUUUUUAGUAACUGCCAGAACAAUUAUUGACGUUGGCACAGGUGAACUCACACUUCGUGUGGGAGAUGAAACAAUCACCCUUCAAGCUCGUAAUUCGAGUAACACAUUGAAAAUUGAAGGUGAUUGUACAGAUCGUUCUACUAAAACUGACCAUAUGGUGCAACCUACUUUCCAGGAAAUAAGUUUGAAAAGCAUGCAUGAGCCAUGUUUAAGCAACAACAAAGGACCCAUCUAUAAAGAACGGAGGCUACAGAUUGAGGAAUUAGAUGAAUGGCGGACACAGAAACUGAGAACACUCGAUAGACCAAAACCAAGCCAAGAUGAACUCAAUUUCUUACCAAAUCAACUUAAGGUUGGAGACAAAGUACUACUAAAUGUAGCAGAUCCCUGUAUUGCUACUACUGAACCUAAUGGAACAACCCCUCUUACGGUACUUAGCAUUUUCCCAUUCGGUACAGUCGAAGUAAUUCAUACCAAAUUUGACACUUUUAAGGUAAAUAGUACCUAUCUGAAACCUUAUUUUGGUAAGAAUGAUAGCAGGAAUGAGGAGUGUGAAUUCCUCGCACCACCUUGACCACGCAACAAGAGAGGUAAGUCGAGCUUAGACUAUAAACAAGCGCCUCUCGGGAGGCAACCCGAGCACUAACAUUAUUAACCAGUUCAUUCUUUUUCUUAGUGUUUUCUGUACAAGAAGAGUAAACCAGUGCGACAUGGCCGUGGGUAAGACUGUCAAAUCAACACAAGCGGGUGACACGUCCCGUGCCUACAAGCUGUGGUUUAAACUGAGAAAUUAACACUGGCGUGUGAUACGCCCGUACCCAACACCCGUGGUCGACACUGUCAAACUAACACUGGUGUGGGCCUUCAUACAAGGGUGUGGGAGAAGCGAAUAACAUCGCACAUGGUUGUGCGAUACGACCGUGCAAACCACACGGCCGGGACACAUGGGCAUGCCUUCAGGCCGUGUUAGACAAUAAAAGUUCAUGAUACACACGGGCUAAACUCGAACCACACGGGCGUGUGACACGACCGUGUGGCCCAAGUCUAUUUAUUUUAAUUUUAUUUCCCUUCAUUUAUUUUAUUAUUUUUCAUACUUCGCUUAUAUUUAUGGUUAUUUUCGAAUUAUUCCUUAAUUCUCUUCCAAAGUAGUGUUUAUUUUCUCAGAAUCAAGCCUUUCAUUAGCCUUAUUUACAAUUCCUAUUUUUUCUCUUCCAAGGAUUUCAUCCGAAAAUUCAGGGCAGUUUCGUUUUUCUCCCUCUAUCUUUUGAUAUUCUCUUUACAUCACUAUUAUAUAUCUUUGUACAUUGAUGACAAUGUACAUCUUAAGUGUGGGGGGAAUAUAUAUAUAUCUAUAUCAUAAAAUCCCUGAAUGUUGUCUUAUUCUCAUGUGAUCUUCUCAUAUCACUAUUAGAAUGAAUUUUGAUUAAUUUAUAAUUUUUAUUAAUAUGUCUUAAAUUAAAAUAUAGGCAUUCAUACAUUGAUUGUUUAAACUUUAAGACAUUAGAGAAUCAAGCAUGAUAAGUUGAUUUUUGAGAAUUAAAUGUUUUAGGUUGUUUCCCCAAGUUUAGAUAUUAUCUUGAAUUGAAAUUCAUAGUUUUAAACAUCAAAAGCCAUAAUUUUUAUGAGAUUUUGAGCCUUUAGAGCAUCUAUUAUUUCUUUUAUGCUCACUUUUAUUAUUGCUAUGAGUGUGUCAAUAUUGAUUUGUUAUUCUAGAACUUGCUUGAUUAUGCAUGUCAAGACCACACCAUUUGAUUUGAUAUGUCAAAAUGAUAAAGGCACCUAGAUUUAACCCACUUACUCCAUAAAAAGCCUACCUUCACAAUUAACCCUUAGUGAACCCCCUUGAGCCUAACAAGCCAUUCCUGGAUGUAUCCCCAAUAUUAACCCAUAACUCAUUAUUUUUGAAAUCCCUUCAAUUAAUUUGAUCUCUAUUUUUGUCGAGAUUUGAUUUGAAUAAAUUGCUCAGCUAUGUUUUUAGUUAUCCUAUUUUUUCUUAAAAAAAACAUACAUAUAUACAUAUUAGUAGUAAUCUUUCGAGCUUAAGUAUUUAAUUCCAUAUUCUGAGAUGAAGCUCAUUUUUAUUCAAGUGUAAUUUGUAUUUUUCUAGUUAGGUACUUUUUCAAUUCAAUCUUGAUUCUAACCUUUUCUUUCAACUUGUGACAAUACCCCCUAACCGAAGCCACGUUACAACCCUUUAAAGACCUUUUGAUUGAUGUAUCAUCUCAAUAUAUAGUGGUGGAGAUUUGAUUUUCAUGCAAGCCUAUGGUAAUAACUUUUCAUAUUGGCUAAUGAGUGCUAAUUUUCUUGUCCUUAAACACCUCGAGUGAUUUGAAUGAAUCUUUAGUGAUGAUGUUAAAUCAAAGGUAAUUACUUAGACUAGUGGAGACACCUAUGUUUUCGUACUAAAAUGCUCAACUUGGAAUGUUUGAAACUUUGAUGAUUUUUAGUUGAAUUUUCAAUGUAUGAUUACUUAUAAAUUAGUUUGAGAUAUUAUCGAUAAGAAUUAUAAGUUGAGAAGAAUUUACUUUGAUUGUAAGUUAAGAGUUUUGCUUGAGGACAAGCAAACGCUUAAGUGUGGGGGUAUUUGAUAAAUCGUAAUUUAUACAUAUUUUUAUCCUAUGCUUAGCACGUUUUUGGAUGAUUUCUCCUUAGAAUUGGUGAAUUCGAUGCUCCUAAUCCUUUAAUUUCAUGUUUUAUACUUAGGUGAACUUAGGAGAGUAAAAAGAGCAAGAAACGGGCUGAAAAUAGAGAAAAUGGGCCAACAUAGGAAAUCAACACGGCCUGGGCUUCCUCACACGGGUAGACUACACGGCCGUGUCAAUUUGGCUGAAUCGAAGCACGACUCACACGGGUAGACCACACACCGUGCCUAUUUAACAGCAUCAACCACGGCUUGAAGCUUAUCGCACACGGGCGUGUCCCUGUCGAGCCCAAGUAUAGUUCUAUUAGGAAAAUGCCACUUUUAAGGGCUUUUAGGCAUUCUAAAACCCUAUAUAAACACCCUAGGACAAGAGGAAAAAGGGACGAAGGGUAGGAAAGAAGGAAUUACUCGAAGAGAGCCGAUUGAUCCAUCUCAGAAGCCAGAUUCACCUUCAAGACGGAAGAUCUCCCCUCAACUUCCCUUCAAGAUUUUUGGGUUUUCUUUAUGUUUUGUAUUCAUUAUUCUACUAAGAUGUUUUAUUUUAUAAUUAUGAACUAAACCCAUAAAUACCUAAGGGGAAUAAAACUUAAGAUGAAUCUUGUUAUUAUUUUCUGGAUUGUAUGAUAAAUAUUUGACUUGUUCUUAAUUAUGUGUUCUUAAUUCUUUCUUCAAUAUUUCAGGAUAUUUUUUCAAGUUCAUGCGCUUAUUCGGAGGAGCAAAAUUCCCUGUCUAAGAGUAACUUUGUCAUAAUUAAGCGGAGUUGAUUGCACGCCUAGACAUAGGGUGACAAAAUUUUGCCGGAUUAGGGUGAAACCUAAUAAGGGAAUCUAUAGAACGAAUUAAUGCAACACUAGGGAGUUAAUUAGAAAGAGAUUUCAAUUAAUCAACCUAGGGUUAGACGUUGUUAGUCUCGACGGAGAUAAUAAUAUAACUUAGGGAUUUCUACGAAUCAAGUCAAAUGAAUAAAUCAUCCAAUUCAAAGUCAAAUAACAAGUGAAGUCUAGGUGGAUUUUUCCUUGGGUAUUGUCUUAAUCAAUCAGUUUUUCCUAAAAGUAUUUUCCCCAAUUUUCUCUCUGUGCACCUUUAGUUUAGAUAAACAAAUCUCUUAAUUUUUAGGCUAGAUAAUAAAAAGAAAGUAAUUACUAGUACUUUUAGUUCCUUUAGGUUCGACAAUCUGGUCUUGCUAAAGCUAUAUUACUGUUUGAUAGGUACACUUGCCUUUUAUCGUGAUAAUAGUUAGUUUCAAGAACGAUUAAUUAUAAAUAUUUAAAACCUAUCGUGAAUAUCACGUAUCAGAACUCUGGGACGCUCAUAUGUCGCACCAAACCACCGAGGCAAAAAGUGAUGGUACCUGGCUCAUCAUGGACCGAGAUGACCUGCUGGACCGAAAAUGUAGCGCAGAGCUCUAAGGUAAACUCCGUGUAAGUGGGCUCGAUGAUGGUGAAGAACCUAUGUGGCAAUAAUCGCGCGCACAUCAUCAGCCAAAUGGACCUACUCUAGUACGGCCCAAUCAAUGCAUCAACCCAAACCUAGUGGUCGUACUCGAUGUAGCUGGUAUAAAUCCUCCUGUGGACCUGCCGCAAAUCGAAGGUAGGGGUAGCGAGCCUCGGCAGAUGCGAUCAGGGAUGAGGUCGAGCCGAGGCCCUUCCGCUUUUCCGAAGCGGGGACUGGGACUUUAGAUUUGCCUCGUGUGUUCGUCAUAGUGUGCCUGAAAAGUAAAAGAAUGUAUCAAUAAUUGCAUCACAAAAUAAAAUCCAAGUAGUCCUAAAUAAGAAAUUUCUCCUAAAACAGUAUGUUUGAAUACUAAAGCAUGCAAAAAAUAGAAAGUGCAAUUAGCAUGAAUCAAAGUGGUGAAAAUACUAGGAGUAUAAAAUCAAAUAACAAGAUCAUAAAAUACAGAUUUUAAAAGUACAAGCAGGGAUAAAUAACUAAAUCAAAGAAUAAUAAUAAUUGGAACAAUGAGCAAGGAAGUCAACAGACUAACUAAUAAUGAAUCGUAAUAAUGGCAGUAAACAAAUAUUAAGUGAAUAAAUGAAGAAAAACUAAGAAUAAACAAUAAUAGAGAAUAAACAAAAGAGAAAUAAAAUAAAAUAAAAUAAUUAAUAAUAAUAAUUAAAAAUGAAGACAUAAUAAAGCAAAUAAGAUAAUAGGUAGAAGAGGGGACCGACGGUGGUAGUUUCUAGACGAUAACGAUGGUAGUUUCUAGAUGAUGACGAUGGUGCGGGACGGCGGUGGUUAUGGUUGGGGCUGGUCGGUGGAGGGAGAAUGGGGAAGGGAAUGGUUCGGUCUAGGGAGAGGGAGGAGCUGGGAGGUUUGUGCUAGGGCCGGCCAAGUGUAAGUUGAGAGGGGGGUUUGGGUGAGAUUUUAAGUGGCUGGUCGCGGCUGGUGUGGGCUGGCUGGGGGUUGUAUGUGCCAGAGGGUUUGAGUAGAGUAGAGGGGUUGCUUGUUUGUCAUGGAGGUGGCGUGGGUGAAGGCCGACGGGGGUGUCAUGAGGUGGGGGACAGGGUCGUGGGUGUCGUGGGUUUUAGGAUAUGGGACUAGGGAAAGGUGGGAAAGAAAAAAGGGAAGAAGAAGGGGAACUGAGGGAAUAGGGCGACCGAAUCGAGGGAGUAUGGCGACGGUUGGAGAGAAUGGGUUGUCGAUGGUGGUCGAACGGUGAGCAAGGAGAAUGAGCGGCAGCUAAGGGUGAAAGUUGGAGGAAAAAGACAAACUAAAAAAAAAUUCAAAAGGGAUUUAGGGUUUAAAAGGGGACACGAUCGUGUUAGGUUCGUGUUGGGCCACACGGUCGUGUCACACAUCCGUGUGGUCUCUAUUUAGCCCGUGUGCGUUCAAUAAUCCACUUGUAUUGCAUUGCAUCACCGGAUGUACCUGUAACAGACGUGUGCCCCUAAUUGGGUGCUAACAUCAGAAACAAAAUGUCAAGGUUUUUAGACACAGGCUAGGACACGGGCGUGUUAUGGCCGUGUGAGGGAUACGGGCGUGUCAUGGCCGUGUGAGGGACACGGGCCAUGGACACAAACGUCUGUCAAGCUGUGUGAAAACCCCUAUAGGUUUGAAUUUAGAAUUUAAUUCAUACGGGCUCAGGACACAAGCGUCUCCCCUUGUGCUUAAGCCGUGUGACCCGCAUGGGCCAUUAGCAUGGCCAUGUCAUAAUGACUACACAGGCGUGUUGCCUUUCCAUACGGGCGUAUGUCCUGCUUCAAGGAGUAUUUUUCAAAAGUUUUUAAAGAUGUUGGGAUUAAUCCCGGGAUAUUUCCAAAGCGUGAUUUGGGCCUCAUAGGCCCAAAUUAAGAGCUUCUUGAUUAAAAAGGAAAAGUUUUAAAUUAGACCUAGUUCUUAUAACUUGAAAUUGAUUGUAUACAUGUGUUUAAGUGUGGUAACGCCUCGUAUUCCAUCCUAACAUAGGGCACGGGUGUGGGGUGUUACAUUUAGUGGUAUCAGAGCUAUGGUUUAGUCGCUUCUAGGACUAACCUAGCAUGAGUACCAGUCUAGCUAUACAUGCCAUAGUUGUAUAUUGAUAGUGUGACGACUCCUAACGAUUAUAAAUUAUGUUUUCAAAUAGUAAAUGGAUCCUGACGUAGCUACGGCAGAUGAUGUGGAGAGUAAUACGUCGGCUCUCGCUAAAGGGACUGUGCCAACAGAUAGUAGGCCCGUGACAUUGAGUUAGGUCAGAGGGGCUAGAGAGGCUUACCUCCACAUAAUGGACGCGUGGUAUUCGGAGUUCAUUCGCGUGAAUCUGAAUACUCAACCUCUCCCACCUCCCCCAAAUUCCUCAACCCGUUCAUAUAGCUCCUCAAGAAGCAGAAAUGGCCAGAAGAGAGAAACCUCUAGUAGAUAGAAUUAGAAAGCAAUGGGCCGAGGAAUUUCGGGCGAAUAUUGAUGAUGACCUAGAGAGAGCAGAGUUUUGACUAGAAAAUACCAUUAGACUCAGCCUACCAAUGGUGGAACACCGUUGUGUCGGUUGUAACAGGGAAAGGAUUACAUGAGAGUUUUUCCAAGAGGAAUUUCCAAAGAAGUAUAUCAAUCAAAGGUUUAUAGAUCAGAAGAGGAAGGAAUUUCUAGAAUUGAAGCAAGACCGAAUGAUACUAACAGAGUAUGAGCAUGAGUUCGUGACGCUCAGCAAGUACAUUAGGGAGUGCGUAUCUACCGAAGCCGUCAUGCCCAAGAGAUUUGAGGACGAAUUAAAUGAAGACAUCUGAUUAUUAGUUGGCAUCUUAGAAUUGAAGGAAUUUGUGGUGCUCGUGGAGAGAGCAUGUAAAGCCGAGGAAUUGGCCAAAGAGAAGAGAAAAGCUGAUAUCGAGUCCCGAGACUCAAAGAAAAGAUAGAUAGGGAAAUCACAUCAAACCUUAUCCAAGAGAUCGAGAGAGUUCACUACCCGAUCAAAUGCUUCAGUGGGAUUUUCAAGUAGAAACAAGAACAAGCAGUACACGACGUCCAAAGCCCAAACCACUUCUAUCGCGAGUGCUCGGCCAAAUAGGCUGGAGUGUUUGCAAUGUGGUAGGCGUCAUUUCAGUGAGUGCCGAGGGAAUGAGAGGGGUUGCUUCAAAUGCAGAUCACUAGACCACUUCAUCCGAAACUGUCCCGAAUUAGAAGAUAAAGAGAAAAAGCUACAUAUGAGGGUGAGUAGUGCUCCUUCAAGGGGUAGACCACAGAAGAACCUGGGUAGUGGGGCUAGCAGCAGAGGUGCUCCUAGAGAUUUAGUUGUGAGGUCCGAGGGUUGAGCACCUACAAAGACUUAUGCCAUUCGCACUCGCGAAGAGGUAUCUUCACCAGAUGUGAUUACGGGUACUUUUUCUCUUCAUGAUAUUUCUAUUAUUGCUUUAAUUGAUUUGGGAUCUACCCAUUCUUAUGUAGUACCCAGUAUGAAUAUGCUAGUUUGAACCUACUAAAACUGUGGUGAAAGUGUUUGACCCAUUAGGCAAACAUGUGUUGGUAGACCAAGUAUGUGACAGCCCAAUUUUCAGUGGUGUCGGAAACAGUGAUUUGAGAUCACUAAAUCCGACAAGUAUGUGUGAAAAUUUAAUAAAUUAAUAAUUAUGAGUCAAGUGUGAAUUUAGAAGAAUUUUUGAAUUAGUGAAUUUUGUGUUUAAAAAAAGAGAAAAAAGAAUUUAAUAAGUAAAUUGGGUCUAAAACGAAGAUCGAGACCUCAAAUGCAUAAGUUGAGCCAUAAAUAUUUUUAUAAAUAUUUAUGGAGUGUCAUUGAGAUAGUAUUAAAGUUUUGUUAGAAAAUUUUAACGUUUGGAUAGUCAAUUAAUUAAAAAGGACUAAAUUGAAAAAGGUGCAAAACUUGCUAAAAUGAUUAAAUAGCUCAAGUGUUAAAUGAAGGAGGACUUAAGAGGAAAAUUAGCCUAAAGGGAAUGGAUGAGGUGGCAUAAGCAAGAAAAAAAUCUAGAAUUAGGUGAACUAAGGGUAAAAUGGUAAAUUUCACAAAAUUAAACAAAAAAAUUGAAAUUGAAAGAGAUUUCUAGGCCAUUCUUCUCAUAAUUUCGGCCAGACAGCCAUGGGAGAGAACUUUUAAGCUGGUUUUGCACAAUUUUACUGCAUGUGAGUUUAUUUCUUGCCCUUUUCUUAUAAUUUUUGUAUUUUUCAAACUUUUACAAUUAGGUCUAACUAUCUAAUUCAUUAGUUUUUGAUUUUAUGGGUGACUUUAAAAGUUACCAUGAAUAAGUUCUGUAUGAUUAUGGUGAAUUAUUAUGGAAUUUAAGAUCUUAUUUUAUUAUAUGAUGAUUUUAUUAAGUGAUUUUGAUAGAAAUUGAAUUUAGGACCUAAUUGUGAAAAAGUUGUGAAUUAAGGUUUUGUGCUAAAAUUAUGAUAUUCAAAGGUUUUGUAGUAGCUUAGAAUGAAUAAAUAAAGUGUUAAUUGAGAAAAAUUAGCUCAAUUGAUGGGUUAAUUGAACAGGGACUAAAUUGUAAAAAAUUGUAAAAUUUGGGGCAAAAGUAUAAUUUUAGGAAUUAAAGGGUAUGAACUGUGAAGUAGAGUAAAAUUGAAAUGAAUGCUAAUAAAUGAAUGAUUUUAUAAUUAUAGAUCAAGAACCCGAAGUGAAUCGUGGAAAAGAGAAAAUAGUCGAUUAGUCCCUGAACUUGUAUGACUUUUGUGAAUUUGCCAAGGUAAGUUCAUAUGAUUUUUAAUAAUGCAAUGUGUAAUUUAAUGUUUUGAAAUGAAAAUUUCAUGAAUGAUAUAGUAUAUUAUUGCAUAUAAAAUGCCUUUAAACUAUGAUAGUUGUAAAAUGAUAUUUGAAUAAAAGUACAAAUUAAAUGAAACGACGGACUUGAGUACUUUCAUUCAGUGGCUAAGACGAAUUGACGGAAAAGACCAUGGUUGGACCAUGGCAACAUGUGAAAUGUGAUUUCUGUAUAAGACCAUAGCUAGGCUAUGGCAUCAGAGAGAUGUGAUAUAUGCUUUCGUAUAAGACCAUAUCCGGGAUAUGGCAUCGGUGUGAUAUGUGCUACUAUAUAAGACCAUAUCUGGGAUAUGGCAUCAGUGUGAUAUGUGAUCCGUGUAAGACCAUGAUUGGGCUAUGGCCUCGGUAUGUGAUAUGUGACUAUGUGCAAGACCAUAAUUUUACUAUGGCAUUGUGAUAAUGAGGUACUCAAUUCCGUAAUCGUUCCCUAAUUUGAUUAUGAACGAAAUUGUGAAAUGGUCCAAAAGGAUUAAGAAUUGGUGAAUAUUAUGAAAAUGACAUGAUUUGGAAUAAGUUCUUGAUACUUAAUGACAUUGAGAUUAUGGAUCUAUGUUUAUCAAGCAUAAUUAUGUGUGCUUACCAUGAUGGAUGAAAUGAUAUUGUAUGGAUUUAGUGAAUAAUAGUGGUGAAUGAAUAAAUAUGGCCUUGGCAGUUUUGGGUUACUGCAGUAGUGUAAAUUUGGAAAUUCACCAUAAAUUGUGGAAAUUGAGUUAGGGGCUGAAUAAAAUAUGAUAUUAAAUCCUGAUGAGUCUAGUUUCACAUAGAGGAAACGGUUCAUGCAAUUGGAUUUUAUGUUAUUAGAUAUUUAAAUUGUUGUGAGACAGAGUCUGAAUGACUUCGAGAUCCCCUGUUCAGAUUUUAGAAAAUCAUUAUAAAUUUUACAAAAAUACUUAUGAGUUCUAAUUUAUAUGCUUAGAAUCCUUAAUGGGUUUAUUUUAAAAAAAAUAUAUACGAGAACAUUAUACGAGUCCUGUGCUAUGAGAUAAUUGAACUUAGUGUAGAAGGGUCAGAACUGUCAUACAGUGAAUCAGGGGUAACUUUGAGGAAUAAGCUAUACUAAUUGGCUAAGCCAAAAAUUCUAUAAAUUUUAUGGUAGAAAGGUAUAUGAGUCUACUUUCAGGGAAAAUUAACAAAAACUUAAUUUGAAGUUUCGUAGCUCCAAAUAUAAAUAUUUUAUUGACUAUUGUUCAAGAAGACAGCUUAUCUGAACUUGAGAAUAUGUUGGGAACAUUGAUAAAAUCUGUUAAUGAGUUGCUUAUUGUUUUCAUAUGAACUUACUAAGCGUAAAGCUUACCUCUCCUCUCCACUUCUUCAGUUUUGGCAGGUCGGCUCGAGGUUGGAGAUCAUCGGAGGCAGCAUCACACUAUCAAGCUAUUAUUUUUUUGGGGGAAUUGUUUCAAAUAUUAGAAACGUCAAGUGAGUGGCAUGUAUAGGAAGUUAGUUUUAUGACAUGUAUUAUUAUGGUUUGGUCAAACAUAUUGGACCUUAAUCACUGUGGUAGUAAGUUUAAUUAUUUAUGUCUUGUUGUAUGUCUAUGAAUAGGUGGGUACAUGUAAGGUGACAAAGGCUUGGUAAAUAGCCUAAUACUGCCCACACAGUCUGAGCGCACGGACGUGUGUCUCGGCCGUGUGUCAAUUAUAGAAUCGGUAGUGAGCUCCACGGGCACGGAACACAGGAGUGUCCAUAGCACACGGGCGUGUGUUCUACCUUCACACGGGCCUGUGGAGCCUUAAAGUAUGGAUUUUUUAAAACUUUUCGUAAGUUCUCGGUUUAGCCUCGAAAUUAUUCCAAAGAAUGUUUUGGGCUCCGUAGACUUAAAUAAGGGAUGUUAUGCAUGUCUUUGGAAAGUUUUAGAUUAAACGAAAUUGUAUGGCUCGGUUUUACUUGUAUGUGUAUGUUUAAGUCCGGUAGCACCUCGAACCCUAUCCCGACAUCGGAUGCGGGCGAAGGGUGUUACAAAGUAUGUAGAAACUGUCCCUUGACAAUUAGAGGUCAUUAUUUUCUGACUAACCUUAUGUUGUUGCUGUUUGAUGAAUUCGAUGUAAUCCUCGGUAUGGACUGGUUGACUUCUCAUAGGGUUAUAAUGGAUUGUGGACGAAAAAUCAUCAAGUUGAAAUGCAAAAAUGGGGAUGUCCUCCGGGUUGAACAGGGUGAAUAGGAUAACUCACCUGUAAUAGUAUCGUCUGUGACUGCGAAGAGAUAGUUGAGAAAAUGAUAUGAGUCUUACCUUGCAAUUGUGUUGAAUACUCAAGCGUCGAAAGUGAAAAUUGAGACAGUGCCUGUGGCAUGUGAGUACCUGGACGUGUUUUCGGAAUAGUUGCUGGAUUGCCUCCAACUAGGGAAGUUGAGUUUGGUAUCGAGUUGGUCCCUAGUAUGGCGCCUAUCUUGAUUGUUCCGUAUAGGAUAGCUCCUAUGGAGCUAAAGGAGUUAAAAGUUCAACUACAAGAGUUAACAGACAAGGGUUUUGCGAGACCGAGUUUUUCUCCGUGGGGUGCCCCAGUGCUAUUUGUGAAGAAAAAGGAUGGAUCGAUGAGAUUAUGUAUAGACUGCAGACAACUCAACAAGGUGACUGUGAAGAACAAGUAUCCUUUGCUAAGGAUCGAUAAUUUGUUCGAUCAGUUUAAGGGAGCUACCGUGUUUUCUAAAAUCGACUUAAGGUCUGGCUAUUACCAACUAAGGGUUAAAGAGCAAGAUGUACCGAAAACCGCAUUUAGGACGAGGUGUGGGCACUAUGAGUUUCUAGUUAUGCCCUUCGAUUUAAUGAAUGCCUCUGCGGUAUUCAUGGAUCUGAUAAACCUUAUUUUUUGGCCGUAUUUGGAUAAAUUCGUGGUGGUUUUUAUCGACAACAUACUAAUUUACUCACGUGAUGAGAGUGAACACGCAGAGAAUCUGAGAACGGUUUUACAAACCUUGAAAGAUAAGCAGUUAUAUGCCAAGUUUAGUAAGAGUGAAUUUUAGCUUAAAGUGGUCGGAUUCCAGGGACACGUCGUGUCGGGAAAUGGAAUCAGAGUUGACCCAAGAAAGAUCUCGGCUAUUGUUGAGUGGAAACGCCUAGGAUGUGUCAGAGAUUCGAAGCUUUUUGGGUUUAGCUGGGUACUAUAGAAGAUUUGUGAAUGGAUUCUCUAUGAUAGCUACUCCGAUGACAACGCUGUUACAAAAGGAUGAGAAGUUUGAAUGGACAAAGAAGUGCCAACAGAGUUUUGAGAAAUUAAAGACUUUGUUGACUGAGGCUCCAGUUCUGAUGCAACCAGAACCGGGGAAAGAAUUCGUGGUAUGCAGCGACACCUCCUUAAAUGGAUUGGGGUGCGUGCUCAUUCAAGAAGGCAAAGUUAUAGCAUAUGCCUCGAGAUAGCUAAAGUCACACGAGAAGAAUUACCUGACGCACGAUUUAGAGUUGUCUACCAUCGUGUUCGCGUUGAAAAUUUGGAGACACCAUUUGUAUGGCGAGAGAUGUCGAGUGUUCUGAUGACUUAAAAGGAUUUGAAUCUACGGCAACGAAGGUAGCUAGAGUUGAAAAAGGAUUACGAGUUGGUGAUUGACUACCACUCGGGGAAAGCGAAUGUAGUCACUCAUACAUUGAGUAGGAAAUCAUUGUUCGCCUUGAGGGCUAUGAAUACUCAAUUGACCAUGUCUGAUGAUGGUUUGAUUCUAGUCGAGAUAAGAGCUAGACCUACAUUCCUUCAAGAAAUCUGUGAAGCUCAGAAAUGUGACAAGGAUUUACACGCUAAGAUGGCUCAGUGUGAGUCGGGUGAUGAAUUAGAUUUUUGGAUUAAUACCGACAGCUGCUUGAUGUUCCAAGAUAGGGUUUGUGUACCCAAAGAUAAUGAGCUUAUUCAGAAGAUUUUACUAUAGGCACAUAGUGGUUGCUUGUCUAUCCGUCCGGGUAGUGUGAAAAUGUAUAACAACUUGAAGAAGUUGUAAUGAUGGUCGGGGAUGAAAAGAGACAUUUCUGAGUUUGCUUCUAAGUGUCUAGUUUGUCAACAAGUGAAGGCCGAACACCAAGUACCCUCGGGUCUACUUCAGCUUGUGAUGGUUCCCAAGUGGAAAUAAGACCGAGUAACCAUGGAUUUUGUGUCGGGGUUACCUUUGACACCAAGGAAAAAGGAUUCAAGAAUUAUACUUACCUAAUAUUUUCAAUACAAUACAAUAAACAUUCCUAUAUCCAUUCAAUGCAUUAUUACCCUAACAUGCACAAACUCAACAUUCAAGUUAGUACAAUAAUUUCCAUGUACCAAUAAUAUAUACCAUGAUUGAUGAGCUCAUCAAUACCAUGAUUUUCAUUUCCUUGUUAUUUUUUCAUAUUUAUCCCGUUGAAUUUAUUGGAAUUUCGAUGGAUUUUUCAGAGGUACACUUUUAGUGUACAAUUCCAGGUCCGUCAAAUCAUAUUCAUGUGCGCGCAUUUCCAUUUCAGAGAGCACACUCCCGUGAACCUCAACAUUGCAGCGGGAUUACCAGUCCAGGCUAAAUCCCCUGCAAUAUAAACUCAUAGAGUAUUGUCGGGAUUACCAGUCCAAGCUAAAUCCCCUGCAACGACAAUUACUCUAAUGAGCUUGAAUCUGAAUUACCAGUCCAAGCUAAAUUCAGACCCUAAUUCGGAUUACCCGUCUGGGCUAAAUCCAUUUUCCACAUAUUCUUCGGGAGGGCUAUAUCAGGAUAGGAUCACCCGUCCGGGCUAGAUCCUUUUUACCGUCAAUUCAUUUUCAAAGAUCCAUCGAAUUUUCCUUUCAUUCAACCGAGAUUUCUUCCCCUUUUUAUCAAAUAUAUCAAUGUUUCAUUAAUUUUCAUACAAUGAACAUUCAAAUCAUAUUCACAUCAAUAACAUACAUUUCAAGCAUUUAAUAAUAUAAUUCAAGUUACAGGAACUUACCUUGAUACUUGUUCCUGUACAAAAAUCUAUUAAUCCCAAACUUUUUCCUUUCCUCGAUCCAGCUUCGUAUUUGAAUCUUCUGGAUCUAGAUUUAAUUAUCAAUUUAAUACAUUUCAUGUUCAUAUGCAACAUUCUCUAUAAUUUCAUUAUUAUUUAUAGUUCAUUCAAAGCUGCCUACUUGAGUCAUAGUCACUAAAUUAUUUUUAUCUUGAGCUACAGAAUUCCAAAUUAGGAUACACUAAUUUUCCCUGAAACUAGACUCAAAUAUCUUCUUACCAUAAAAUUUUCAGGAUUUUUGGUUUAGCCAAUAAGUACAGUUUAUUCUUUAAAUUCACCCAUGUUCUGUUGUAUGACAGCUCUGACCCUUCUUCACUAAAAAUUAAUUAUCUCUUCAUACAUGAUUCAAAUGAUAUUAUUGUUUAUUUAUCUUGAAAUUAAACUCAUUUAAAAUUCUAAACAUAUAAAUUUAAGCCCCUAAUUAUUUUUCUUUAAUUUUUUAUGAUUUUUCAAAUUUAGAACAGGGGAACUCAAAUUCAUUCUGACCUUGUCUCACAAAAUUUAUUAUAUCUAAAAAUUUACAAAUCCAUUGCUUACACAGUUUAUUCUAUGAGAAACUAGACUCAAUAAGAUUUAAUUCAAUAUUUUUUUCAUCUUCUAAUUCGAUUUCUAAAAUUUAUGGUGAUUUUUCAAAGUUAGUCUACUGCUGCUGUCCAAUAUUGUUUUAGUGCAAGCUGUUUAUUACCAUUUUUCCCCUAAGCUUUUAAUAAAUGAUAAUUUCGUCCCUACUCAAUUAGCCUCUCAAUUGAGCUUAUUUUUAUCAAUUAAAACUUUAUUCUAUCACCUUAAACUAGUUUACAGCCUUUAGGAAUUAGAAUUUCAGCAAUAGACUUUAAUUCCAAAGAUUUUCACAAUUAGGUCCUAAAAAUCAAUUUCCAUUGAAAUUACCUAAUAAAAUCAUCUUAUAAACAAAUUAAAGCUUUAAUUUCAUUCUACUUCAUCAUAAACUUACAGCACUCAACCAUGGUGACUUUUAAUUUCAUCCAUGAAAUCAAAAACUAAUGAAUUUAAUAGUAGGAUCUAGUUGUAAAAGUUUUAGAAACACAAAAAUUACAAGAAAAAGGCAAGGAUUAACUCACUUGGUGCAAAAAUUAUGGAAUACCAUCUUAGAGAACCCUCCUAUGGCGUUUUUAGCUACUGGAAUUGAAGAGAAAUGAAGAGAAAUCUAGAUAUUUCCUAUUUAGUCCUAGCUUUAUUUAGUUAAUUUUGCAAUAUUCCAAUUUUGCCCUUAAUUUAUCAAUUUUCCUACUGAUUUCAUGCCCUUUCCGUCCAGCCCAAAUAAAUUUUGGGUCGAAUUGCCUUUUAAAUCCUCUCUCAUUAGACACUUAAGUUAUUUAAUCAUACCAUCCACUUUUACACCUUUUACAAUUUAGUCCUUUUCAUUUAAUUAACUACCCAAACAUUAAAAUUUCCUAACGAAAUUUUAAUACCACAUUACUAACAUUUCAUAAAUAUUUAUAAAAUUAUUUUCGAUUCAAUUUUAUGAGAUUGAGGUCUCGAUACUUUGUUUUUACCCAAUUUCUUCAAUAAUUUCUUUUUCUAACUAACUACUAAAUCGGUAAAAAAAUUUUAUCGAUAUUUUCAUACGAUUUUCCUAUUAUAUAAAUAUUCAUGCAAAAAUAUUAAAAUAAAUUUCUCUUUAAAUCAGAUUUGUGGUUACGAAAUCACUGUUCCGAUAACCUUGAAUUUAGGCCAUUAUAGUGAGGCUCAGCAAAUACGCUAGGGACUGCGUAUCUAUCGAAGCCAUCAUGUGCAAGAAAUUUGAGGAUAGAUUGAAUGAAGACAUCCGAUUAUUAGUUGGCAUCUUAGAAUUGAGAGAAUUCGUGGUGCUCGUGGAGAGAGCAUGUAAGGCCGAGGAAUUGGCCAAAGAGAAGAGAAAAGCUGAUAUCAAGUCCCGAGACUCAAAGAAAAGACAGAUGGGGAAAUCACAUCAAACCUCAUCCAAGAGAUCGAGAGAGUUCACUACUCGAUCAAAUGCUUCAGUUGGAUUUUCGAGUAAAAACAAGAACAAGCAGUACACGGCGUCCAAAGCCCAAACCACUUCUAUCACAAGUGUUGGUAGUGCUCGGCCAAAUAGGCCAAAGUGUUCGCAAUGUGGUAGGCAUCAUUUUGGUGAGUGCCGAGGGAAUGAGAGGGAUUGCUUCAAAUGCGAAUCACUAGACCAUUUCAUCUGAAACUGUCCCAAAUUCGAGACAACCACAGGAGGUAGAGGGUUAUUCUAAUUUUCAGCUAUCUCCUCGGUAAUAUUGGUAUCAUCCUAUUACUCUUCCUCUAUAUACUGUAGACUCCGCCUUAUUUCUCUACGAUUUCUGCAAGCUGUGCUUUCAAUUUCACUAUCAAAUAAUAGAGGUCCUGACAGGUUUCUUCUAGCCAUAAACUAAUAGAACCUGCCAGAAGCAAAUAAGAGAAAAAGUUAGUAAAUUAAAGUAAAAACAAAAACAAAAAUAAAAAAUGGCUAAAGUAAUAAAAAUUUAGUGUUCCUAAUAUUUUAGUCCCCGACAAUGGCUCCAAAAACUUGAUGGAUCACGAAACUAACUAAUAUUUCGACAAAGACAAGCGCACCUAUCGAAUAGUAGUAUAGUUAUGGUGAGUCCAGAAUAUCGUAUCUACAAGGACUAAAAGUACUAGUAAUAACUAUCUUUCUAUUAUUUAGCCUAAUAAUUAAAUGAGGUGUUUUAAUCUAAAAUUAAACUAAUUAACUAUGAACGCGACAGAGAUCGAAUUGGGAAAAUACUUAAUAAAACCAAUGAGAGAGACAAUACCCAGGAAAGAAUCCACCUAGACUUCACUUGUUAUUCUGACUCUGAAUCAAACGAUUUAUUCACUUGUCUUGAUCAGUAGAAAUCCCUAACAACUGACUCUAGGUUGAUUAAUUGAAAUCUCUUUCUAAUUAAAACCCUUAUUGUCGCAUUAACUCGAUCUAUGGAUUUUCCUAUUAGAUUUGAAUCUAAUCCGGCAGAUUUAUGUCGUCCUAUUUCUAGGAUUGCAAUCAACUCCGCUUAAUUAUGCUAGAUCUACUCUUAAAUAGGGACUUUUGCUCUACUGAAUAAGCACAUCGAACGUGGAUUAAUAUCCUGAAAAUAUUAAAGUAAGGAUUAAGAACACAUAAUUAAGAACAAGAACAAGUAUUUAUCAUGUAAUUCAGAUAAUUAAAUAAAAAGAUAUGUCGUAGGUUUCAUCCUCCCUAGGUAUUUAGGGAGUUUAGUUCAUCAUGUAAAAGGAAAACAUCUGAAAUUUAGAAAAACAACAAGACAUAAAAAAACCCAAAUAAACUUCGAGAGAAAUUUGAAUGGAGAUAUUCAAUUUUGAAGUGGAUCUGCUUCCGGGAUUAUUCCAACGGUUUUCUUCGAGUAAUUUCUGCUUUCUACUUCGUGUGUCUUUAGGUCUUCUUCUAGUGUGUUUAUAUAGACUUUAGAAUGCUCAGAAACCCUAAAAAUUGGCUUUUUUCUCGUGUUUGAGAAACAGGGAGCGAUAUCGACACAAGCAGGACACAUGGGCGUGUGACCAGCCAGUGUGGCACACACGGGCGUGUGACCAGCCAGUGUGGCUCACACGGGCGUGUGCUUAGCCCGUGUGGAAGAUGGUCAGGCUGUAUGGUUCCUUAAAAUAGCCUGUUUUGUCUAUUUUUUACCCGUUUUCUGCUCUUUUUGCUUCCCUAUGCUCACCUAACUAUAGAAACAUGAAAUUAAAGGAUUAGGAGCAUCAAAUUCACUAAUUUAUAUAAGAAUUCAUCCAAAAACGCACUAAGAAUGGGAUUAAAAUAUGUUACUUUUAUGGCUAAUUAAAAAUUUUCUUUAAAAUAAAGUAUUGUGAUAUUUAUAGAAUUAAACUUUAACUAAAAUUAUAUAUGAGCUUUAUACGAGGUGGUUAAGUGUAACACCCUCACUCGUAUUCAUUGCCAGAAUAGGAUUACGAAGCAUUACCGGAUCAAUUACACAAUUAUACAUACAAUUCUCAUACAUUUAUCAUCAUCAAGUAAACAUCAUUCAUAAUCAUACAUAUCGCCCCUAUUAUGAGCCUACGAGGCCCAAAACAUGCUUUAGAAGUGGUUCGGGACUAAACUGGUAACUCGGGAAAUUUUUCAAAAACUUAGAAAAUUUCUCAAGGUACAAGGGCUACACGUCGUGUGCCCCAGCUGUGUCUCUUACACGGCCAAGAGACAUGCCUGUGUCUCAGGGCGUAUAGGCAUUCAAAAUGAGAUCACAUGGCCGUGUCCCAUCCCAUGUUCAACCCCGUGUAACUCUCUGACUUGGCUACACGUCCAGACCACACGCCUAUGUGUCAGGCCGUGUGCCUCUCAAAAUGGCCUCACACGCCCAUGUGCCAGGCCAUGUGAAAACUGAAGGGUAUUGUAACGCCCCCACGCCCGAGACCAUCGCCGGAGUCGAGUAUGAGGUGUUACUAAGCUUAAUUUAACAUAUUUAGAACUUUGGAUUAUUUAUUUCUACAUUCGCAGCUUUUAAGCUACUUGCAUCAUAGUCACAAGAAAAAUCAUAUCUCGAGUUACGAAACUAAAAAUCAAGAUCUGUAAAUUUUCCCUGAAUCUAGACUCAUAUACCUAUCUACUAAUUUUUUUCUAGAAUUUUUGGUUAGGCCAUUUAGUACAGUUUAUUAGUUAAAGUUACCCCUGUUUUAGGACUUGACUGGUCUGACCUCUGUUUACUACUAACCACAUUUAUCUCUGUACAAAAUUCAUAUGAAUAUGAGGUUUAUUUCUCCUGAAACUAGACUCAAUAUGGAUUCUGAAAGUAUAAAAUACACUACCUAAUUAUAUCUUUAAAAUUUAUGGUGAAUUUCUAAAGUUGGAACAGGGGAUUCAGAAACUUCUAUGACCCUGUUUCACAAAAAUUCUAAUAUCUUCUAACAUAUAAUUCCUUUUCUUGUUUUAUUUGUUUCAUGUGAAACUAGACAUAAUAAGAUUCAAUUUUAUAUGUAGUCCAUCACCAAAUUAAAUUUCUAUGAUUUUUAGUAAAUUUUCAAACUCGCGUCAGUGUUGCUGCAGUAUCCUGUUUAUGGCAAAUUUCAUCCCUUUUGAUGAGUUUUUAUACACUAAGUAUCUUAUUAAUUUUCCUUAUCAUCAAACAUAAUCUAAACUAACCAUUUUCAUAAUUUAUCAUUAUCAAACAUUUCCUCAACCAUUCCAUUACCAUACCAUAAGAUCAUUUACACAAAAUAGAUAUAUGCCAUACUUAAAUUUACAAGCCUUUACCAAAAGUCUUUCGGAUAGUGUGACUGAGCCUUCGACCUAUCCCGACUCCUGAGCUGGCUUGGCCAAAACUACAAUGAGUAAGAAGGAGGGAGUAAGCAUAAAUGCUUAGUAAGUUCAUAUGCAAAUAAUAAGUAACAUAACAAACAGUUAUACCAAUCAACAUUAGCAUACAUCACUAAAACACAUGUCACAUUUCUAAUCAUUUUUCAUCAUCUUAUUACCUUAUCGUGGUUGUAUCAAUACUCAACCCGAGGGUUAAAUACAUACCUCUUCAAAAUAUCCAUUUCACAUCACUUACCAAUACGUCUCUUUACAUCUCAAAUAUUCCUCCAUUUGAGUAGAGCUUUACCCGUUGAACACAUCGGAAUAUAAUUCGGAUACAUGGAUAACUUGCACAUAAGUGCCAUAUAUGAAAUCAACCAAUCAUGUAACCCGCCCAUAAGUGAACUCGGACUCAACUCAACGAGCUCGGGCGUUCGCAUCCAUAAGUGAACUCGGACUCAACUCAAUGAGUUCGGAUGCCUAGUUACAUCUCUCGAACUCGGACUCAACUCAACGAGUUCGGACAUUCGCAUCCAUAAGUGAACUCGGACUCAACUCAACGAGUUCGGAUGCUCAACCAUCCUAGUGACAUGUCACUUGUAUCCUAAUCUAUUCCUAAGGUUCAAACGGGCUUUUUCCUCGAACACUUAUCCUUGCCGUCUUCCGUAGAAUGCUAAAAUCAAUACUCGGUAACAAUUAUAUUUAACAAGUAGCUCGCAUAAUUUACAUAUUAUUUGAAAUUAACCACAAAGCAUACAUUUCAUAAUUAAAUUCAGCAUAGCAUAUAAUUAACAUCAAUAACUUAAAAAUAAAAAUUAUGCUACUUUAUUUACACAUGAACUUACCUUGGUACCAAAAUACAAGGAUUUUGCAAUCUAGUCCACAAUAUUUUCUUUUCCUCGAUUGAGGUUGAUUCCACGUCUUUCUUGAUUAUGGAGCUUGGAAGCUUGAAACAAAUCCUAGCUAUGGAGAACCCUUGAAAUUUCGGCCUAAUGAAGAAGAUGGACAAAAAUUGGCUUUUAAUUUUGUUUUUAAUUCAUUUUAAUAACUAAAUGACCAAAAUACCCUUACUACUAAACUUUCCAAAAAUUCCUUCCAUGUCCUAAUUUUGUCCAUGAACUUAAAAUUGGUAAAAUUGUUAUUUAAGACCUCCUAAUUAAUAUUUCAAAGUAAUUUCAUAAUAAAAACUUCUAGAAUGCAAAUUUUGCAACUUAUUCAAUUUAGUCCCUAACUUUAAAUUAAACUCGUUAUGCCCAAAAUUUCUUCACGAAAUCUUCACACAAUUAUGCAUUCAUAUCAUAAACCUCAAAAUAAUUAUAAAAUAAUUAUUUCUAUCUCGGAUUUGUGGUCACGAAACCACUAUUCCGAUUAGGCCCUAAUUCGGGAUAUUACAACUCUCUUCCCCCCCCCUUUUAAGGAUUUUCGUCCUCGAAAAUCUUACCGGUAAACAGGUGUGGAUAUUGGUUUCUCAUAGUUUCUUCAGGUUCCCAUGUAGUCUCUUCUACCCCAUGCUUUUGCCACAACACUUUCACAAGUGCAACACUUUUAUUUCUUAGUUGUUUGACUUCUCGAGCUAAAAUCUUAAUCGGUUCUUCUUCAUAAGUCAUAUCCGGUCGUAGUUUAACUUCUGUCGGUGAAAUUAUAUGUGAAGGAUCCGAACGAUACCGACGUAACAUAGAUACAUGAAACACAUCAUGAAUCUUCUCUAAUUCAGGUGGUAACGCUAGCCGAUAUGCUACCGGUCCAACUUUUUCAAUUAUUUCAUACGGUCCAAUAAAACGCGGACUUAACUUGCCCUUUCGUCCAAAUCUAAGGACUUUCUUCCAUGGAGACACUUUCAAAAAUACCUUAUCACCAACUUGAAACUCCAUUUCUUUUCGUUUCAAAUCCGCAUAAGAUUUCUGUCUAUCUGAAGCAGCUUUCAAACAAUCUCGAAUCACUUUCACCUUUUCUUCGGUUUCUUUUAUUAAAUCAACUCCAUAGAUUUGACUUUUCUUGAGUUCAGUCCAAUACAAUGGCGUCCGACAUUUACGACCAUAUAAUGCUUCAUAAGGUGCCAUCUUCAAACUUGUCUGAUAACUAUUAUUAUAAGCAAAUUCUACCAAUGGUAAGUACCUUUCCCAACUAUCUUGAAAUUCCAAUACGCAACAUCUGAGCAUGUUUUCAAGAAUCUGAAUUACUCUCUCUGAUUGUCCAUCAGUUUGUGGAUGAAAGGCAGUGCUGAAAUUUAACUUUGUACCUAAUGCUUCUUGCAACUUUUUCCAAAACCGUGAGGUAAACCUCGGAUCUCUAUCCGAAAUGAUUGACAAAGGUAUCCCAUGAAGUCUAACAAUCUAUCGGAUAUACAAUUCAGCUAACUUAUUAAGAGAAUAAUCUGUACGUACCGGAAUAAAUGAGCCGAUUUAGUCAGUCUGUGAACUAUUGCCCAGAUGGCAUUUUUCUUCCCUGGAGUUAACGGCAACCCUGAUAUAAAAUCCAUAGUAAUCCUAUCCCAUUUCCAUUCAGGAACCAUAAUAGGCUGAAGUAAUCCCGAAGGUACCUGGUGUUCAGCUUUCACUUGUUGACAAACUAAGCACUUUGAUACAAACUCGGAAAUAUCUCUUUUCAUUCCACUCCACCAGUACAUUUUCUUCAAGUCAUUAUACAUCUUCGUACUGCCCGGAUGAACCGCCAAACAACUAUUAUGUGCUUCAUGCAAAAUCUUUUGAAUCAACUCAUCAUUUUUUGGUAUACAAAUCCGAUUUUUAAACAUCAAACAACCAUCAGAACCGAUUCUGAAAUUUGAUCCCGUAUCAGCUUCACACUGUUUUCUCUUGGCUUGCAAAUCUUGAUCAUCUUUUUGAGCUUCAGAAAUAUUUUGCAAAAACAUUGGUUUUGCUCUUAACUCUGCUAGAAUCGAACCAUCAUCUGACACUUUCAACUGAGUGUUCAUAACUCUCAAAGCAAACAACAACUUUCUGCUCAAAGCAUCAGCAACCACAUUUGCUUUUCCCGGAUGAUAAUCAAUAACAAGCUCGUAAUCUUUCAACAACUCCAACCAUCUUCGUUGUCUCAAAUUCAAGUCUUUUUGUGACAUCAAGUACUUAAGACUUUUGUGGUCGGUAUAUACCCGACAUUUUUCACCAUACAAAUAAUGUCGCCAAAUUUUCAAAGCAAACACCACCGCAGCCAAUUCCAAAUCGUGAGUAGGAUAAUUCCUCUCAUGAGGUUUUAACUGCCUCGAAGCAUAUGCCACCACUUUUCCUUCUUGCAUGAGCACACACCCCAAACCAUUUAGAGAAGCAUCACUAUACACCACAAAUUUUUUACCUGAUUCGGGCUGUACUAACACUGGUGCCUCUGUUAAUAACUUUUUCAAUUCUUCGAAACUCUGUUGACAUUCUUCCGUCCAUUCAAAUUUAACAUCCUUUCGGAGUAGUCUAGUCAUAGGAGCCGCAAUUAUAGAAAAUCCAUUUACAAACCGCCGAUAAUACCCAGCUAGCCCCAAGAAACUUCUAACUUCAGUUACAUUUUUUGGUGGUUUCCAAUCAACAAUGGCUGAAAUUUUACUAGGAUCAACCCGUAGACCAUCACCUGAAACAAUAUGACCCAAAAAUCCAACUUCCCGUAGCCAAAAUUCACUUUUACUAAACUUAGCAUACAGCUGUUUAUCUCUCAAAGUUUGCAAAACUAUCCUCAAAUGCUCAGCAUGCUCUGUAUCAUCUUUUGAAUAAAUUAAAAUAUCAUCUAUAAACACCACAACAAAUUUGUCCAAAUAUGGCCGAAAUAUGCGAUUCAUUAAAUCCAUAAACACAGCAGGAGCAUUUGUCAACCCGAAUGGCAUAACUAAAAAUUCAUAAUGACCAUACCUUGUUCUAAAAGUAGUUUUAGGUACAUCCGACUCCUUUACCCGUAGUUGGUAAUACCCAGAUCUCAAGUCAAUCUUUGAAAACCAUGUCGCUCCUUUUAGCUGAUCAAACAAAUCAUCAACUCUUGGCAACGGAUACUUGUUUUUGAUUGUCACCUUGUUUAACUGGUGAUAAUCAACACACAACCUCAUAGAACCAUCCUUCUUUUUCACAAAUAACACGGGAGCACCCCAAGGUGAAAAACUCGGUCUCACAAAACCUUUAUCAGUCAACUCUUGCAACUGCGACUUUAAUUCCUUCAACUCUGCUGGUGCCAUUCUAUACAGAGCAAUCGAAAUCGGAGCUGUUCCCGGUAUCAAAUCAAUACCAAAUUCUACUUCCCUGACUGGAGGCAAACCCGGCAAUUCUUCUGGAAAUACGUCCGCAAAUUCACACACAACCGGCACUGAUUCAACUUUUUUUUCAACUUCUUUUGUAUUAAUUACAUACGCCAAAUAAGCUUCAUAACCCUUUCUCAGAUAUCUUUGAGCCGACAUUGAAGAAAUCACACUAGGCAAUGCCUCUGAUUUAUCUGAUUCAACCCGCAGAGUUUCACCAUUUUCACACUUUAAUUCUAUAACCUUUUCUUUGCAAUUUAUUUUAGCAUCAUGCAAUGUCAACCAAUCCAUACCCAAAAUAACAUCAAACUCAUCAAAUGGCAACAACAUCAAGUCGGCCGGAAAGUAAUGAUCCCGAAUCAUUAAAGGACAUUUCUUACAUACUUUAUCAACAGUCACACAUUUGCCUAACGGAUUCGACACUCUAAUCAUAAAUUUUGUGUUCUCAACAGGUAUAUUCAUACUAGACACCAAUUUCAUGCACACAUAUGAAUGAGUAGAACCGGGAUCAAUCAAAGCAAUAACAUUAACAUUAUAGAGAGAAAAUGUACCGGUAAUCACAUCAGGUGAGGAAGCAUCUUCACGCGCUUUAAUAGCAUAAGUUCUAGCCGGAGCCCUUCCUUCAGGUCUAACCGGUGCAUCCCUGGCUACAUUCUUACUGCUUGUUUCACUUCCAGCUUUUCUCGGAUACCUUCCCCUCGAGUCUGCACCACUAGCUUUUACAUUCUGAAAUUUUUCUUUUUCAGCUCUCUCUGGGCAGCCUCUAAUAAAAUGAUCCGGAGAACCAUAUCGAAAACAUUCAUUUGCUCUACACGGACCAAAAUGAUUUCUACCACACCGCUGGCACUCAGGUUUAACAAAUCUCGAGUUCCCUACACUGGCUGCCGAAGUAGUCUGGGAUUUAGGACCCACAUUUUGCUUCUUAUAAUUCCCAUAUGAUUGCCCAGCUGAAGCUUGGGAACGAGGAUUCAUAUUCCUUGACUUUCCAGGUUGCUGUGAAAAUGAACUACUCAUCGGUCUUUUCUUCCAAUUUCUAGUUUCAGCCAAUUCUUCGGCCUUACAAGCUCGAUCAACCAAUACUACCAUUUCUUUUAAUUCAAGAAUUCCAACAAAUACCUUGAUGUCUUCGUUGAGCCCGUCUUCAAAUCAUCGGCACAUCUUGGCCUCUGUAGGAACAUACUCUCUGGCAUACUUACUUAAUCGAACAAACUCUCUUUCAUACUCUGUAACCGUCAUAUUACCUUGCUUCAGCUCAAGAAAUUCUUUACGCUUCUGAUCAAUAAAUCUUUCACUAAUAUAUUUCUUCCGAAACUCUUCUUGAAAAAAUUCCCAAGUUAUUUUCUCUUUCGGUACCACCGAAAUCAAAGUCUUCCACCAAUUAUAAGCUGAAUCCCUCAACAAAGAUAUAGCUCAUUUUAAACAUUCUUCAGGUGUACAAGAUAAUUCAUCAAAUACCCGGAUAGAAUUCUCAAGCCAGAACUCUGCUUUCUCGGCAUCAUCAUCAAUAUUUGCUUUAAAUUCUUCGGCCCCUUGCUUGCGAAUUCUAUCAACUGGAGUUCUGUGAAAUUUCAUCAGAUCCAUACCUUGAGGCAUCGGGGGUACAGGUUGAGGAAUUGGGGGAGGUGGGGGAGGUCGUACAUUUGGGUUCGUACGAACGAACUCAGUGUACCAUGCACUCAUCAUUUGGAGAAAGGCUUCUCGAUCCCUUUCUCCUCCUCCCUGACCAACAAUAGGAGGUGGAUUUUCAGUCGGCGCUGCUCCUUCAGCUGGAGCUGGCGCAUUACUCUCUACUUCAUCUGCCACAGCUGGAUCGGGAUCCAUUUACUAUAUAAAAAAAAUUCAUUUAAAAAGGUCAGAAGUCGUCACACUAUCACAAUUCAUACAUAUGGCAUGUAUAGCAAAAUCUGUACGAACAACACGUAGUCCGAGAACCGACUAAACCUGCUCUGAUACCACUAAAUGUAAUUCCCCGACGCCCGAGACCAUCACCGGAGUCGAGUAUGAGGUGUUACUAAGCUUAAUUUAACAUAUUUAGCACUUUGGAUUAUUUAUUUCUACAUUCGCAGCUUUUAAGCUACUUGCAUCAUAGUCACAAGAAAAAUCAUAUCUCGAGUUACGAAACUCAAAAUCAAGAUCCGUAAAUUUUCCCUGAAUCUAGACUCAUAUACCUAUCUAAUAAUUGUUUUAUAGAAUUUUUGGUUGGGCCAUUUAGUACAGUUUAUUAGUUAAAGUUACCCCUGUUUCAGGACUUGACUGGUCUGACCUCUGUUUACUACUAACCAUAUUUCUCUCUGUAAAAAAUUCAUAUGAAUAUGAGGUUUAUUUCUCCUGAAACUAGACUCAAUAUGGAUUCUGAGAGUAUAAAAUACACUACCUAAUUAUAUCUUUACAAUUUAUGGUGAAUUUCUAAAGUUGGACCAGGGGAUUCAAAAACUGCUAUGACCCUGUUUCACUAAAAUUCAAAUACCUUCUAACAUAUGAUUCCUUUUCUUGUUUCAUUUGUUUCAUGUGAAACUAGACAUAAUAAGAUUCAAUUUUAUAUGUAGUCCAUCACCAAAUUCAAUUUCUAUGAUUUUUAGUAAAUUUUCAAACUCGCGUCAGUGUUGCUGCAGUAUCCUGUUUAUGGUAAAUUUCAUCCCUUUUGAUGAGUUUUUAUACACUAAGUAUCUUAUUAAUUUUCCUUAUCAUCAAACAUAAUCUAAACUAACCAUUUUCAUAAUUUAUCAUUAUCAAACAUUUCCUCAACCAUUCCAUUACCAUACCGUAAGAUCAUUUACACAAAAUAGAUAUAUGCCAUACUUAAAUUUACAAGCCUUUACCAAAAGUCUUCCGGAUAGUGUGACUGAGCCUUCGACCUAUCCCGACUCCUGAGCUGGCUUGGCCAAAACUACAAUGAGUAAGAAGGAGGGAGUAAGCAUAAAUGCUUAGUAAGUUCAUAUGCAAAUAAUAAGUAACAUAACAAACAGUUAUACCAAUCAACAUUAGCAUACAUCACUAAAACACAUGUCACAUUUCUAAUCAUUUUUCAUCAUCUUAUUACCUUAUCGUGGUUGUAUCAAUACUCAACCCGAGGGUUAAAUACAUACCUGUUCAAAAUAUCCAUUUCACAUCACUUACCAAUACGUCUCUUUACAUCUCAAAUAUUCCUCCAUUUGAGUAGAGCUUUAUCCGUUGAACACAUCGGAAUAUAAUUCGGAUACAUGGAUAACUUGCACAUAAGUGCCAUAUAUGAAAUCAAGCAAUCAUGUAACCCGCCCAUAAGUGAACUCGGACUCAACUCAACGAGUUCGGAUGCCUAGUUACAUCUCUCGAACUCGGACUCAACUCAACGAGUUCGGACAUUCGCAUCCAUAAGUGAACUCGGACUCAACUCAACGAGUUCGGAUGCUCAACCAUCCUAGUGACAUGUCACUUGUAUCCUAAUCUAUUCCUAAGGUUCAAACGGGAUUUUUCCUCGAACACUUAUCCUUGCCGUCUUCAAUAGAAUGCCGAAAUCAAUACUCGGUAACAAUUAUAUUUAACAAGUAGCUCGCAUAAUUUACAUAUAUUUGAAAUUAACCACAAAGCAUACAUUUCAUAAUUAAAUUCAGUAUAGCAUAUAAUUAACAUCAAUAACUUAAAAAUAACAAUUAUGCUACUUUAUUUACACAUGAACUUACCUUGGUACCAAAAUACAAGGAUUUUGCAAUCUAGUCCGCAAUCUUUUCUUUUCCUCGAUUGAGGUCGAUUCCACGUCUUUCUUGAUUAUGGAGCUUGGAAGCUUGAAACAAACCCUAGCUAUGGAGAACCCUUGAAAUUUCGGCCUAAUGAAGAAGAUGGACAAAAAUUGGCUUUUAAUUUUGUUUUUAAUUCAUUUUAAUAACUAAAUGACCAAAAUACCCUUACUACUAAACUUUCCAAAAAUUCCUUCCAUGUCCUAAUUUUGUCCAUGAACUUAAAAUUGGUAAAAUUGUUAUUUAAGACCUCCUAAUUAAUAUUUCAAAGUAAUUUCAUACUAAAAACUUCUAGAAUGCAAAUUUUGCAACUUAUUCAAUUUAGUCCCUAACUUUAAAUUAAACUCGUUAUGCCCAAAAUUUCUUCACGAAAUCUUCACACAAUUAUGCAUUCAUAUCAUAAACCUCAAAAUAAUUAUAAAAUAAUUAUUUCUAUCUCGGAUUUGUGGUCACGAAACCACUAUUCCGAUUAGGCCCUAAUUCGGGAUAUUACAGGUAUACUGACUAUGCCACACGGCCAAGCCACACACCCGUAUGCUAGGCCGUGUGAAGCUACUGACUUGGUUUUUAGUUCAACACCAGAGGACACAUGGCCGUGUAACUUGGCCGUGUGUCACACACGGCUAAGACACACGCCCGUGUCUCUGCCCAUGUGGACAAAAAUAGGCUAUUUACCAAGCCAUUUUACCACCCACACUUGUGCAGACCUACACCAUACCAAAAGGUACCAAAACAUAGCAUAAAAAGGGAAUUCCAACCAUUCUCAAUCAGGCCCAUAUCUUGCAUAAAACCAUACUAGUAUUCACUAGAUACCAAGUAUCCUAAUAGGCUAUUUCAAAACAUGCCAAAUUCACAUUCACAAAGUAUCUAUGCAUAAUUUCAACUAAGCAAAACUUUGCCUAAAAUCAUAAGCAUACCAAUACUAAAUUCCAAGCAAAGGCUACCUAACUACUCAUCCUCAACUAACAAUUUACCAAGCAAUUAUAUGCCACAUCAAAGGGAUAUUAACACUUAUGUACAUAUAUAUACAUCAUCAACUAAACCAAAUAAGCCAACUUACAUGGCUAUAUACAUAGUAACCAUUCAUCAUUCACAAGCCAACUCAAAUGGCUACAUCCAUUACCAAAAUACAUAGCAAAAUGACCAUAACACCUAUACAUGCCGUACGACCAAAAAUUAGUUUCAAAAGUACCACAAUGAUAGAUGGAUAGUGUGAAGCGAUCUCCGACAAUCCCCAAAUCUGAACUAGCUUGAUAACACUAUAAAACAUGGAAAAUUUAAACGAUGUAAGCUAUAAAGCUUAGUAAGCUCGUAUGAUAAUAAUAAUAAUAAGCAAAUCUUACCAUCCAUUUACCAAUCAAAUAAUAGAAAGCAUUAUACAACAAUUCUAUUAAAUCUCAAAGCUACCAAGUGAUCAUUCACAUAACUUACUAAGGAACUCAUCAGUUCCAUAGUUUCAAUGCUCAAUAAACUUCCGUACAUACCUGUACCGAUACUAGAACAUCUCUCACCAUCUUAUAUCCUCAAUAUACCCGUUGAACCAUUUAGAAUAAAAGUCGGAUACCCAGGAGUCUCGCACCCUAAGUGCCAAUAUCAUGGCUUUAACUCACUCUGGCAGUACUGAUAUCAUGGCCUAAAGCCAAAUCAGUGUAACUCACACAAAGUGCUAAUAUCAUGGCCCAAAGCCAACUCAGUGUAACUCGCACCCCAAGUGCUAAUAUCAUGGCCCGAAGCCAACUCAAUGUAUCCCCUAAUGACAUGACACUCGUAUCAUAUUCUAUUCCUAAGGUUCAAUCGGGAUUUUCAAUGUCGAGUCUUCGCCGAAUGUGUCCGCAACAUUGUAAUUCACAAUUUAGGCAACAUCAAAGCGAUUAAUACACAUUUAUAAUAAUGCUUAUUGCAUACAAACUUACCUCAGUCAGAAAAACAGCGAACUAAGUCAAUUAGUUCGAAAGCUUUUUUUUCCCCGAUCUAAGUCCAAAUUUCCCUUUUCUUGAUCUAUAGGUAAUCAAAAUUAUCUUAUUUAAUCACCUCUCAAUUCAAUUUAAUCCAAAACACAUUAUGAAAAAAUUACACUUUUGCCCCUAAUAUUUCAAUAUUUUUACAAUUUAGUCCAUAUCUCAUAAAAAUGCAAAUUCAUCAAUUAAGCCCUUACCCAUGCCAACCGAAUUUCAUAGGGACCCCUAGCAGCCCAUAUUUUUCAUUUAUUUCACAUUUCAACCACAAAAUUUACACAUUUCACAAUUUAAUUUAAAUUUGGACAUUUUACUAAAAAUCACUUCACAAAUGUUGUUUAUCUAACAACAACCAUGCAUUUUCUACCAUUAAACAUCAAAAUACACCAACAUUCAUCAAUGGAAAAACCCUAUACUUUUAACAAUUUCUCAAAUUAGUCCUUGGGCUAGCUAGAUGAAGUUACAACGAUGCCGAAAACAUAGAAAUCAUUAUAAACGGAACAAAAUUCACUCACAUGCAUGGAGUUCUUGGCCGAACCUAGCUUCAAGCAAAAAUGGCUUCUUUCUUUUGUAGAAUCGGUUGGAAGAAGAUGACAAUGAGUGGGAAUUUUGUUCUAUUUUAUUUUAUUAACCUUUAAUUAUCAAAUACAAAAAUUAACCUUAAAUUAAAACAUUAAAAAUCACCUAAUCCAUGUCCAAGAAUGUCCACUAACAUUAGCAAUUGUAUAAUUACCACAUAAGGACUUCCGCUAAUUAAUUUUAUAGCCAUUUAAUAAUUUUGGAUAUUAGCACAACACUUUUAUACUUUUUGCGAUUUAAUCAUUUUUAUCAAAUUAAGCACUCAAACGAUAAAGUCUCUUAACGAAAUUUUCACACAAUCAUACUAUCAUGCUGUAGACAUUAAAAUAAUAAUAAAAUAAUUAUUUUGACCCCAAAUUUGUGGUCUCGAAACCACUAUUUUGAUUUGACUAAAAACGAGCUAUUACAUUAAGUCGAUCUCAGGUUUCUAUUGAACGACCUUCUCCACUAUUCAUAAACAGAUUUAGGAUUUAUUUUACUUGGAUUCUGUCCAAUAUACUAUCAGCCAAGUCAGUCACAUUUAUGUCUCUAUCUUCUAAGAGUCAUCUGCUUCAAUACCAAGACAAGGUAUCUCUCCAAUUGGAUUUGAUAGACGACAUAUUAGUUUUUCAAUCGAUUUGUUCAAUUUUGAUUAGACUAAUAACAUGUUUGGAUUAUCUACUAAUAUAAGUUGUCUUUCCUUAUUACGAUCCGACCACAUAAUGCCGUUUAAUAUUAGUUAAACUUUAGAUAAUUAGUAAACUAAUAUUUGUUUUCAUUUUUCUUUACAUGCAAAAACUAUUGAAGACAAUAUAUGAAUAUAUUAAUGAUACUGAUGAAUAUUUUAUUAAACUAAUUUUUUUUGAAAAAUUACAAGUACAUAUAAACAAAAUCACUAGAUCCUAACGGGUUUAAAUCCUACAACUCACUAUAUACCAAACUUACACUUAUACAAAAAAUCUAGAUCACUUUCCACUAAAUUUUCUCUCGAAAAACCGCGGCUAUAUAAUCAAAUUGGUUUUUAAUAGAAUAAUAUAAAGCGCUGACUUUCUUACAAACUAAGUCAAGCUUCACAUAUAUAGUUACUUUAGCCACGGUGAAAUCAAGGGCGUAGCUAGGGGGCUAGCAAGGGCCUUAAUUUCUCCCUAAAAUGAAAAAUUUUUCAUUUAAGUGCUUUAAAUUUUUUAAAAUUUUAAAUUAGUAAAAAUAAAAAUACACUUUGGCCUCCUUAAAAAUGAUAAAAAAUUAAUUUAAUAUUUUAAAAAUUAUAAAUAUAUAGACUAUUAAAAUGGUGAAAUUAUAUUUUUACUAUCAUAAAAAUUACAAUUUAAUUUCGGUCCCCUAAAAAAAAUUUGAUUUCGCCUCUGGAUGAAAUACAAAUAUAUUACAAUAACAAUACCCACCAAAGUAUCUUACAAAAUAUCCUAACAAAGUUUAGGAUAAAUAAUGAAAAUUUCAAGAUAUUCUUUAACUCAGUCGAUCCAAUUUCCAUUAAAUAGGGAAUUCGAUUUGCAUGACGAAUUGACAUUCGAUCAUUUAUGAUUUGUUCCUUCGUUAGAUUAAUCUUCUAAGACGUGCCAUGAAAGCUUGCAACAGAUUAUGAGUUCAACAUUCAAAUAGAUUUAGCUAAAAUGAUUAUCAGUUCUAAACAUGAUAAAUUAUUGUUUCAGCCUAGCUACAACAUAAGUUGAAACUGCUCUUGUAGCUGAAACCAUAAUUUCUCCAACAAAGGUUUCAUCUGCACCACAUUUAUAGAGCAAAAUUUAUGACUAAACAACGAUAUUUUCCAAAUAAUUUAAAUUUUUUUCAAAUCUAUCCGUAAAAGAGCUAAAGGGUAUAGGCAGCGACUAAAAUCAUGUCAAGCAUUUACAUUGGUAUGUAUACUGGCACCAUUGAAGGAACGUUUGAUUCCUUUGAACAAUUUGUCUAGCAAGCAUCAGAACCUCCUUUCCAAAACUUUCAAAGCAUAAUUAUUGUUUUCUCUGUAUUAAAUUUGAUUCUCGAUUUUUUGUCGCUUCUUCUAAUCACAUCCACUAUAAAUUUGCCUUAGUUUAUUACUAAAAGCACAACUUAAAACAAAAGAUUUUAACUAGAAAUCAAAAAUGGGACAGCCACAAAGCAAACCAAGCAAACCAAGCAAACCAAGGUUUCCUCAACCAGGGGAUCACAUCUACUGUGAAAGAAAGGGAGGUCUCUAUGAUCACCAUGGUUUGCUCUGUUUCUUUUCAAUUUUUUAUCCAUAUACCCAGAAGAUCAUAACAUGUAUACACACACAUAAACAUUGGGUGUUUCUGAUUGAGCACUGCAGGAAUAUAUGUGGGGGACGGCAUGGUGAUUCAUCUCCGGGGAGCAGCGAAGAAACUUGGGGAGCUACCUGCAUGCCAUAGAUGUGGAGGCAAGCGAGUCGAAAAUGGUGAAAUAGCAAAAGUAUGCAUAGAUUGUUUCCUUGAUGGUGAAACGCUCCAGAUCUAUGACUAUGGAGUUCCCGUUCUAGAAUUCAUUAGUAGAAAACGUGGUACUUGCUGCACAAGCCGUUCCAAGCCUCCUCAUGAAGUUAUUAGCGCCGCAACUGAUUUACUUGAACGGAAUGGGUUUGGCCCCUACGACAUGUUUACUAACAACUGUGAGCACUUCGCUGUGUAUUGCAAAACAGGCUCUAAGGUAAGUUACCAGAUUUUAGGCCGUAUUGAACUAGCUACUACUGCUGCUCCCGCUGGUAUUCUUGCUGGCGCUGCUGUUGCGGCAGGUUAUGGUGCUUCGGGAAGCAUGUAACUUCUGCCUGCAACUCAUUCACGGGACUUCAAUUACAUCUUACUUAUAAGUAUGAACCAUGUUAAGAAGAUCUCAUAUCCCAGUAAACUUAAAAGUCAAAGCCAACUAGUGCUGAUAUUCACCUAUAUGCAAAUAUGAAUUACAUAUUUGGUAUAUAAGUGUGUUUGAAAACAAUAUAAAAUAAGUAAUAAAAUAUAGGUUGUGGUGUUUCGGAAGGAGUGUAACUUCUGCCUGCAACUCAUUCACGGGACUUCAAUUACAUCUUAUAAGUAUGAACCAUGUUAAGAAGAUCUCAUAUCCCAGUAAACUUAAAAGUCAAAGCCAACUGGUGCUGAUAUUCACCUAUAUGCAAAUAUGAAUUGCAUAUUUGGUAGAUAACUGUGUUUGAAAAUAAGUAAUAAAAUAUAUGAUUUCAAACUAAUAAUAACAAUACAUAUGCAAAAUGCACAAAAUUAAAAUGAAAAAUUAAUUUAAAUUGUGAGUAAAAGAAAUUUAAAUAAAUAAAUUAAAUAAAUAAAUACAUUAUAUUAAGAAUAUCAAAUGCACUCCAAUUGCUUAUCAUUGGUAUUGUUAUUUUUCUAUAGCACUUAAAAUGUUAUCGUGUUAAUAUGUUAUGAUAUUGGUGAAAGGAAAAUUCAAUAUUAAAAAUUUUUUUUUUUGAAAAGAUACAAUAUUGAGUUGAUCCGUGACAUUAACUCAAUCAAUCAUAUUAUCUAUACUAGAAAUCUUAUUACAUGCGUAUACGUGUGAAAAUCACGUAUUUAGAAUACAAAUUUGUGUUUAAAAAUAACACACAAUAUAGUUAAUGAAAAAUAUGAUUUAGAAUUAAUUAAUAAUAACACAUGCCAUAUGUGCAAUACUAAAAUAAAAAAUUAGAUUAAAUUGUGAGUAAAAUGAAAUUUAAAUCACAUCAUAUUAAGAAUACUAAAUGAAUACAAUUGUUUAUCAUUGUUUUGUCAUCAAUCUUGAAUUGAUUUUGUGUUUGUUAACUCGAAUGAUUAACUCAAAAUCUCCAAGAGGGAAGGAAAAUUGGCCUUUAAGAAAAAUGGUGGAAGCAAUAAAAAAAAUGAAACAAUGAACAUAAGAGUUUAUAGUGGUUCAGCCCCAAUUACUUACCCCACUACCUUAGCUUUCUUCAACUAAGAAUUUUCCUAAAUUCACUAUUUUGAUAACCUUUGAGGAUAAUGUUUAACCUUACAAUCUUCCUUAAAAUUUCUACCCAGAAUCUUAAGAUUGUAACUCUCUUAUAGUUUCUAUCCAAACAUUAAGAUUCAACCAUCUCAAAAAGAUACAAAGAAGCGAAUAAAGAAAUAAUCUUUACAACAUCAGAAUGUUUGCCAAUUAAGCUCAAAUAAACAUGAAUACACUUGGGUUAAAGAAUAACAAUGAAAGCUCAUAAGUGUGUAUAAGAAAAAUAUGAAAGAAUUAAACAGUAAGGUUGUUUUGAUUGAUCUUUAAGCUUGACGAUCUCUCUCUUUAUUGUAGGACAUUUAAAAGAUGGUAUUUAUACCCUCUAAUUUAUUUUCAACCAUUGUGGUUGUUGUGAAAGUUAAUAGAGCCAUUGGAAUGAAAAUAUACUGGAGCAUUAAAUUCACUUACAACAAAAUGUAUUGAUACUUUUUUAACGAGUAUUGAUACUAUUAGCAUUUAAUUUCUGAUUUAGUGACCGUUAAAGUUAGUUAAUUUACGUCGAUACCAAAAAUAAUUUAUCGAUACCUAGUAAAAGGUAUCGAUACUUUUUAUAAUUGAUUGAAAACAAAAUGUCAAUUUUGUAUCGAUUUUAGAAAGGGUAUCGAUAUUUUGAAAACUAUCAAUACUUGGCCAAAAAGUAGACUUUUUGGCCUGGAGUAAUACUGACUUGUUUUAAAACGGUUUUAACUUGAUUGAAAAUGUUUAACUCAAUUGAAAUUAUUUUAACUUGAUUUUAUUAUUUUGCUAAUUUUGUUCAACUUUAACUUUUAUUCAAAAAUAUUUUAACUUGCUAUAUCAAAACAUAUUACCAAAUAAAGUUAGGUGUAACAGUGUUCAUUUGUGAUACUAACUCAAUCGACAAAAUUAUUCAUAUACACAAAUAUAUAAAAAUUCAAAACACAAAUAUACUUAUUAAAGUUCCAAAAUAAAAACUAAUAAUUACUUUAAGGGUAAUCUACAAAAAUAGUCACUUUUGUUUGCCUCAGGUUACAUUUUAGUCACUUAUGUUUGAAAUGUUACGUUUUAGUCACUUAUGUUAUUAUUUUGUUACGAAAUGAUCAUUCUACCGUUAAGUUCUGUUAUCUCUCUAACGGUAGUCCUACGUGGCAAUCCAACUAGAUUUUAGGUGCCAAUUUAAAUUUCUAAAUUGGAUAAAAAUAGAUUUUUAAUUAAAAAAAUUAAUUAAUUAAAAUUUUUAAACCUAAACCUUAACUAAAAAAACUGUUAUCUCCUCUUUUUUUAUUUUUCUUUGUCUUUUCUUUUUUUCAAUUUUUUUUCAUUUGACUGAAAAAACUAUUAUUAAGAUCAAAAUAGUUCAAAUCAAAUUGACUGCUUCAUAAAAAUGGAUUCAAUGGAGGGUUAAAAAGUUUUUAUGUGCAUGGUGUCAUUGGUUAAAAUCUCAUUAUGGAUAAAUUUUUAUUGAUUUAUAAAAAUAUAAAAAGACAAAAGCAUCCACAUAAUCAUAUAACUUUACAAAUAAAAUGAUUUUUUUGGUAAUUUCUUAACUAGGUUGAGACUUGGGUGACGCUAACUCAAUAAAAUGCUUAAUAAAUAAUAUAGAUACAUAUAACACGAAGUGGGUGGAAAAAAAUUAUGUAAAAAAAUUAUUUAAGACCAUAAUGAAUCUUUGUUUCGCUAGUUGUAACUCUACGUUUUGCUUCUGACAGUCUUAAAAUUCAAACUUUAAGUUUUCAUAAACCUAAUCCAUAUCAUACAACACUUAAUUAAUUAUCAAAUAUUAAAAUCAUAUAAAAAUCGAGCAUAAUUAAAAAAAAAAAAAACUCAAACAAACGCAAAUGAGAAAGCUAAGAUGCAACAUUUCACUUAACAACCAAACGAAAUAUUAAAUAUAAAGGCCGAAAUAUGAACACUUAUUACAUAUGAAGAUGUUUCUCCAUUUGUAACUACUGAGAGUUACUUUGAAUUUUUUGUUAGGAGAGAGUAAGUAGAGCUUAAGGGGAGCUGGAGCUUAAUGUCAAUGAUGCUAGUAUUACAUUCAUUACUUGAGAAAGUUGACUUUAUGUUUUAGGUCAAAAAAUGCUAAAGAAGAGAAUUGUCAACGACUCGAAAGUUGCAUGCAAAUUCCAUUACUAGAAAAAUUUUCAGAAGCCUAUUAAAAAAAUUCUUUUAGAAGGAAAUUUACAAUUUUUAGACGACUUUUUAGGUCAUGAUUAGGCUAAUAAGAAAAUAUACAUGACGGUUGGUGGCGUGCUUUUGGAAACUUUGUCUAAGGGCUUCUCUGACUCUCCAUAUAAUUACUUCUAGAUAUGUGUACUUGCAACGGCAUGUAAUAGGAAUAUUAAUAAGUGAUGAAUGUUAAAAUUAUAUAUAAAUUUUAAUUUAAUGUGUAAUUAUUAUAGCGACGUAAAAUUUUUUUUCUUCCGGUCGCUAAUUGUGGCGAUUUAAUGAAAAGUUGAAAACUAAAGAUUAAUUUUGAAGUAAAGUGGGAGUCGCCACCGAUCUUUUUUUUAGGUGUGAUCGGACACCUAAUAAAACAUCUUUUUGAAAAGAAAAUUUAUUCUCGAACAAAGAUGAAGGCUAAAUUUAGGUCUACGUCAAAAGUCAGAUAAAAAUCAGGGUUCGGGAGUCGGUUACGCGCGAGGAAGGUAUUAGCACCCUCGCGACGCCCAAAAUUAGUAUCUUAUAAACACGUGUUGUCUUGAUUUUCAAAAAUUCGAGUUCAAUGCAAGAUUUAGUCGUGAUCCAGUUGAAAAGACGAGAAAUUUUAGUUUUUUUGGUUUUUUAGAAGGGCAUACCGUUUUAACACGAGUCGAUUGAUGUUCACCCAACAUAGCGAUGAAAUCGACGACUUAGUAUUAAACCGAUACGUUGGCUCAUGUAUUGAAAUUAAUUAGAAAACAAGAAUAAGAUUUUCGAACUCAUGCAAAGCAAAUAAAUAAAUGACAGAGCUAGAAAUAUAUUGACGCAAAUACAAGUGUGACAAUAAUAUUAAAAGUAACAAAGAUAUAUGCGAUAUUAGACAUAAUACUAGAAUUAAACACGAAAUAGAAACAAUGAAUGCACAUACAUAAUGAUGAUGUUAGGAGUAUGUACGUAAUAUAGGAAUGAAAAAUAUUUACAUAAUAAUACUAAAUAUAGGUACAUAAUAUAUAUAUAUGCAUAACAUAUUUAAAAUGAACACAUACAAUAUACACAUAUAAUAGACACACACUAAUAAUAAUAGUAAUAAUAGUAAUAAUAGAAAGAUAUAUAUAUACCAAAUAACACCUAACAAUAUGAUAAGUAGCAAAAUGGAAAAUAAUAAGUAUAUUAAUGAGCAUAAUAAAAUAAUGCUAUAUAAAAUAUAUAUACACGUAAAUUAUAUGUAAUAAUAUUAGUAAUAAGUAUAAUAGGAAUAAAAUAAAUGUAAUAAUGAGAUAUACAAGAUACAUACAUAAAUACAAGGUUUAAAAGGCAUAUAUAUCCGUAAUAUAUAAAAACGUAUAUAUAAUAUUAAAACAUUUACAUAACAUAUACACACAUAAUUAUAAUGUUAAAAAACACACUUAAUAUUAAUAACAAUAUUAAUAUUACAUAAAGGUAUACCUAUAUAUACAUUAAAGAUGUAUACAUAUAUAAUAAAAUACUUGAAUAAUAUGAUAUUAAAAAUAUAUGUAAUACGUAUAAUAAAAAUAAUAUACAUAAUAUAAGAAUAUAGGAGUAUAGGAGUAUUAAAAAUAUAAAUAAAAUAAUGAAGAAAUGAAUAAAAAUAGUAUGCAUAAUAAUAUAAUAAGAAAAUAUUAUAAUAAGUACUAAAAAAUAUCUAUAUAUAUAUAUACAUGUAUAAUAAUGAAUAAUAUGAUAUACGAAAAAUAGUACUAAUAAAAAGUAUAUAUAUAUGUGUAAUAAAAUAUAUGUACUAAUAUUAGUAAUAAAUAUAAAUAAUAUAUACAUAGUAUGGUAUUAAAAAAACAUAGAUAUAUAAAACAUAGUACUAAGAUAUACAUAUAAUAUGUAAGAAUAUAUAUAUGUCAUAAAGUAUUAAAAAUUUGUACACGAUGCAUAUAAUAUGAUGUUAAGAGUAUACAUAUGAAAUAUGAUAUUAAAAGUAAGUAUACGUAGUACAAAGAAUGUAUAUAUAUAAUAUAGCAUUAAAAUAUAUGCAUAAUAUAUUAAAGAAUAAUAAUGUUAUAAGCAACUAGUAAUAAUACUUCAUAAAUAUAUACAUACUAAAAAUAUACAUAAUAAUAAUAAUAUAUACAUACAAAGUACACUAAUAUUUAAAAAUAAUAACAGUAAAUAUAAUAUUAAUAUUAAAUAAAAUUAAUAUUACAAAUUUAAUUUGAGAGCAAAAAUGACAAAAAGGACUAAAUUCGGAUUAAAAACAAAGUUUAGGGAAAAUUCGAAAUAAAAAAAGAAAAGAGAACAACCUAUUUCAACGCGCGCAAAUAGUGGAGGGACUAAAAACGAAAUAAACCCAUUCGAUCAAAUCGCACAGUAUUAUGGGGACUAAAUUGAAAACCAUGGAAAAUUAUGGGGUCGAAUUAAAAAAUGACAAAAUACUUAAUUGCAAAACGUUUAAAAAGCGGAGGGGUUAAACGCGCAAAUAACCCUCCCUUAAAAAACACGCUGAUCCUGCUCGGAGCGGGUCGGGUCGACCCGACCCGGGUCCAAAACGACGUCAUUUUAUUGUUAAAACCGGGGGACCAAAAUGCACCGUUUUUGUCCCCUAUAAAAGAUAAAAAAAUUUCAAAAAUUUCAUUUGGGACCGGGGAAAGAAAAAAAAAGAAAGAGAGGGGGGAGAGAAAAUGGAUUCCGGCCAGGGGGCACCGGUCCGUCACCAGACCACCGUCGGUCGCUGGCGCCGGCCACCGUGAAAAUCGAAAGGUAUGAUUUUUCUUCCCUUUUUUUUUAAAAAAAUUGUUUUAUAUUUUUUUAUAUAUUUUAGUAUAUAUAUGUGAAAAAUAGGCCUAGAAAACGAAACUAAAACAAAAAAAAUAUUACCUUAAAUUUCUAGUUUUUGAUUUUUGAUAUCUUUGAUUCUCUGAUUUUGAGUGUUCGAAUCACUGCUUGUAUAUGUAUUGUACUCUAACUUAGGUAUUGAUUUUCCUUGAACAUUCGAAUAAACACCAAAAAGAAAAAAAAGAAGAAAAAGAGCUGACCCUUUUACAAUGGUUUUCAUGGCUUUUUAUAGCCUUUACAUGGUCUGUUUCUUAUUGUUGCAUGUCUGCUUGACCUUGCAGGUGAGUUGGUGGCCGGUGGAGGUGACCAUGGGGUAGGUGGCGCCAGGGGAUGGUGUUGGCAGAGGCAAGUGAGAGGGUGGUUGCGGCGCUGAGGCAAGUGGGAAGAGGCUAGGGUUUGUGAUAGAUUUUUUGAAUUUGGUUUAGGGUUUGGGUGUAAUUGGGCUGUUGGGUAUUUGGGUUUUUUGGUGGGUUAGUUUAGGUGGGCUCAGGUAGGUUGAUGUGUAUUAGGCUGAUGGUUGUAAAUUUAUUUGGGCUGAGGGUGGGUUAGAUGGUUUAAGGGGUUUAAUGUAUUGGCUUUAUUUGUUGGGUCAAAAUUGGGUAGGUUAGUUGUAAUGUAUUUGGCUGAUGGGUUAUUUUGCUUUGGGUUUUAUUGGUUUAAUGUAAAUGGGUCAUGGAUAAAAUUGGGUUAUAAUAGCUACCCCUCUUUGCUCAUUUCGUGUAACAGGAAUGGAGCAAAGACAUAAUGAAAGGCCAAUUUUGCCCGUCUUGCCGAAUCUUGAUUUCAUUGGUGCUCCUCUUGUUCAGGUAGUCUCUUUCUAGUCCAUCGCAUCUUGUAGCUUUGGUUCAAUCCACUGCAUCUCCUGAUAUACGCCUUGUAGUUUCAAUCUUCUUCAAUGUAGCUUCAAGGAUAUGAGAUUUGUGGCUUCAAUCUGCCUUACUUGUAACUUUAGAAAGAUAAGAUCUACGACUUCAAAUCUGCUUUUCUAUCGCUUCAAUGAGAUAAGGUUUGUUGUCUUCUCUUCUGUAACUUUUAGAAAGACAAGAUCUGAUAUCCUCUAUCAGCUCCACUGCAACUUCAGGGGGACAAAACUUGCAACUUUGACCUGCUCCGCUGCAACUUCAGGAAGACAAGACUUGUAACUUUGGCCUACUCCACUGCAACUUCAGGGAAACAAAAUCUGGUGUCUUCAAUCAACUCCAAUCUUUAUUCUUUACUCGGCAUGUGAUCUUAAGCUCAACUUAUUUAUCGCAAUAUGGAUUGACUCUUGAAAACAGACAUUAAAAACAGAAAUUGAAAAUAGCUCAGCGCGUGAGCCAAGGCUCAAUUCACCUCUCGCAAUAUGAGUUGGUAUUUUUGAAACUUAAUUUGAAAAGUUGAUUUUUGAAAAUACCUCGACAUGUGACCCGAGGCUCAACCCACCUCUCGCAUUAUGAGUUGAUUUUUUUGAAAAAAAAAAUGUAAAUUGAAGAAACAGGAAUUGAAAAUACCUCAGCGUGUGAACCGAGGCUCAACUCACCUCUCGCAAUAUGAGUUGAUUUUUGAAAACAGAAUUUGCAAAACAGAUUUUGAAAAUAUCUCGGCAUGUGACCCGAGGCUCAACUCACCUCUCGCAAUAUGAGUUGAUUUUUGAAGAGUAGAAAUUAAACAGAAUUCGAAAAACAGAAUUUGAAAAUACCUCGACAUGUGACCCGAGGUUCAACUCACCUAUCGCAAUAUGAGUUGAUUUUUUUGAAACGUAAAUUAAAGAACAAAAAUUGAACAUACCUCAGCUUGUCCUGAGGCUCAACUUACCUCUCGCAAUAUGAGUUGAUUUUUUUGAAACAUAAAUUGAAAAUACCUCGGCGUGUGACCUGAGGCUCAAUUCACCUCUAGCAAUAUGAAUUGAUUUUUGAAAAACAUAAGUUGAAAAUACCUCAGCAUGCCCUGAGGCUCAACUCACCUCCCGCAAUAUGAGUUGAUUUUUGAAAAACAUAAAUUGGAAAUACCUCAGCGUGCCCUGAGGCUCAACUCACCUCUCGCAAUAUGAGUUGAUUUUUUUGAAAAGCAUAAAUUGAAAAAAAAUGAAAAUCAAAAAUACCUUAGCGUGUCCCGAGGCUCAACUCACCUCUCGCAAUAAGAGUUGAUUUUUUGAAACAUAAAUAAAAAACAUCAAAAUACCAAAAGAUGUCUUCUGGUGGAAUUCAUGUGUCUUUUCCUUGAUCCAGUAUAACUAUCAUUCAAAAUUUCUUGCUCUGCUGGAGUACCUGUGUAUGUCAUGUAUGAUGUUAUCAUGAUAUGCACAUGUUGGUCUUAAAUGCCUUUAUGCCUACAUGAUCAUGCUAUGCGCCUUGGGCUUGUUUGUCAUAUGCCCUUUUCUAUCAUGAUUUUUGAUGAUCUGCGUUCAUUUAUUUGACUCUUUACUUUCUCUUCAGGCCCUGUGUAACGCCCCCACGCCCGAGACCAUCGCCGGAGUCGAGUAUGGGGUGUUACUAAGCUUAGUUUAACAUUUUUAGAACUUUGGAUUAUUGUUUCUACAUUCACAGCUUUUAAGCUAUUUGCAUCACAGUCACAAGAAAAAUCAUAUCUUGAGUUACAAAAACUCGAAAUCAAGAUCCAUAAAUUUUCCCUAAAUCUAGACUCGUAUACCUAUCUACUAAUUUUUUUCUAGAAUUUUUGGUUGGUUCAAUUAGUACAGUUUAUUAGUUAAAGUUACCCCUAUUUCAGGACUCAACUGGUCUGACCUCUAUUUACUACGAACCACAUUUCUCUCUGUAAAAAAUUCAUAUGACUAUGAGAUUUGUUUCUACUAAAACUAGACUCAAUAAGGAUUCUGUGGAUAUAAAAUAUACCACCUAAUUAUAUCUUUAUAAUUUAUGAUGAAUUUCUAAAGUUGGAACAGGGGAUUCAAAAACUGCUAUGACCCUGUUUCACUAAAAUUCAAAUAUCUUCUAACAUAUAAUUCUUUUACCUGUUUCAUUUGUUUCAUGUGAAACUAGACAUAAUAAGAUUCAAUUUGAUAUGUAGUCCAUCACCAAAUUCAAUUGCUAUGAUUUUUAGUAAAUUUUCAAACUCGCGUCAGUGUUGCUGCAGUAUUAUGUUUAUGGCAAAUUUCAUCCUUUUUAUGAAUUUUUAUGCACUAAGUAUCUUAAUAGUUUCCUUAACAUCAAACAUAAUCUACACUAACCAUUUUCAUAAUUUAUCAUUAUCAAGAAUUUCCUCAACCAUUCCACAACCAUACCAUAAGAUCAUUUACGCAAAAUAGGUAUAUUGCUAUACAUGCCAUACUUAAAUUUACAAGUCAUUUACCAAAAGUCUUCCGGAUAGUGUGACUGAGCCUUCGACCUAUCCCGACUCCUGAGCUGGCUUGUCCAAAACUACAAUGAGUAAGAAGGAGGGAGUAAGCAUAAAUACUUAGUAAGUUCAUAUGCAAAUAAUAAGUAACAUAACAAACAGUUAUACCAAUCAACAUUAGCAUACAUCACUAAAACACCUAUCACAUUUCUGAUCAUUUUUCAUCAUCUUAUUACCUUAUAGUGGUUGUAUCAAUACUCAACCCGAGGGUUAAAUACAUACCUGUCCAAAAUAACCAUUUCACAUCACUCACCAAUACUUCUCUUUACAUCUCGAAUAUUCCUCCAUUGAGUAGAACUUUACCCGUUGAGCACAUCGGAAUAUAAUUCGGAUACAUGGAUAAUUUGCAUAUAAGUGCCACAUAUUCAAUCAAGCAAUCAUGUAACCCGCCCAUAAGCGAACUCGGACUCAACUCAACGAGCUCGGGCGUUCGCAUCCAUAAGUGAACUCGGACUCAACUCAACGAGUUCGGAUGCCUAGUUACAUCUCACGAACUCGGACUCAACUCAACGAGUUCGGACAUUCGCAUCCAUAAGUGAACUCGGACUCAACUCAACGAGUUCGGAUGCUCAACCAUCCUAGUGACAUGUCACUUGUAUCCUAAUCUAUUCCUAAGGUUCAAACGGGAUUUUUCUCGAACACUUAUCCUUACCGUCUUCCGUAGAAUGCCGAAAUCAAUACUCGGUAACAAUUAUAUUUAACAAGUAGCUCACAUAAUUUACAUAUUAUUUGAAAUUAACCACAAAGCAUACAUUUCAUAAUGAAAUUCAGCAUAACACAUAAUUAAUAUCAAUAACAUAAAAAUAAAAAUUAUGCUACAUUAUUUACACAUGAACUUACCUUGGUACCAAAAUACAAGGAUUUUGCAAUUUAGUCCACAAUCUUUUAUUUUCCUCGAUUGAGGUCAAUUCCACGUCUUUCUUGAUCUAAAAUAACACAUUUAGCUCAUUUAAUACUCACAUUAUCAAAUUAAUCCUUAACUCAAAUUUUGGCAAAAUUACAAUUUUGCCCCUAAACUUUUGCAUAUUUACAUUUUUGCCCCUAGUCUCAGGAUUAAACUUUAUUGCUUGUUCUUAUGUUUUACAACAUGCUGAUUACUUUCCUCUUCUAUGGCAACAUCAAAUUCUCACUCUAACAUGUACUUAUGACUAUUAGGUAUUUUUACCGAUUAAACCCUUUUACUCGUUUUCGCUCAAAACCGAGUAGCACAAGUUGUUUAACAUAAUUUAAAACCCCAUAUUCUAUCAUAAAACAUCAAAAUACACAAAUUUCACCUAUGGGUAUUUUUCCAAAUAUGAACCCUAAGUUGAAUUAUUGUUAGCAUAAGCUUAAUCGAGCUACCGGGAUCUCAAAAACGUAAAAAUCAUUAAAAACAGGGCUUAGAAUCACUUACUAUGAAGCUUGAAAGUUGAAGAAACCCUAGCUAUGGUGAGAGUGAAGUUUCGGCAGCAACUAAAUGGGGAAGAUGACUAUUUUGUGUUAUUUUUCCCAUUUUAUUUCAUUUAAUAUCAAAAUGACCAAAAUGCCCCCUCCUCGCUAAACUUUCAAAAAUUCCUUCCAUGUCCUAAUUUUUCCCAUGAACUUAAAAUUGGUAAAAUUUCUAUUUAAGACCUCCUAAUAAAUAUUUCAAAGCAAUUUCAUACUAAAAACUUCUAGAAUGCAAGUUUUGCAACUUAUUCGAUUUAGUCCCUACUUUCAAUUUAAGCACUUUAGGCAUAGAAUUUCAUCACGAAAUUUUCACACAAUCAUGUAAUCAUAUCAUAAUCAUCAAAAUAAUUAUAAAAUAAUUAUUUCUAUCUCGAAUUUGUGGUUACGAAACCACUAUUCCGAUUAGGCCCUAAUUCGGGAUAUUACACCCUAUACUCGUCCUCUAGCUUCACGAGUAAUCUACGUUUCUCAGAUAUCACUCUUUUGCCCCUGGUUGAACUUUAUCCUUGCUUUGAGGCUCUUGUACUUAUCAAAUUCUUAUCCGGGUAAUGCUUAACAUUUUUUUGUUUAGAGUAUGUCAUUUCACUAUUUAUCAAGUAAAUAAACCACAUAAUUAGAUGCAUGAAAAUGGUCAGGUAGGAACAAAAGGAUACCUCACAUUUAUUUAUUUCAAAUGUAGCAAACAAAGAAAGUUAAUCGAUGAUAGUAAAAAAUGUCAUAAAGAGAAAAGGGAUCGCAUUCAAUGGAUACAAAUGCUCUAGAUAUUCAACGCAUAAACUCUUCCACAUUCCUCAAUCAAGAAUCUUUUCGAGCAUGGCUUCUUGCAUAGAAGAUUUUGAGCUGCUAAAAUGCUUCAAAUACUGUAUUCCCGCUGUUUGACCCACCGUGUAAAAUGCCUUACUUUUUAAGCCAGUGCUUGCUUCAUUAGGACGCCCUUUUGGAUUUUCAUCCUAAUCUUUUGUUUUAAUCAAGACGCCCUUUUCGGGUUUUCACCUUGAUCUCUCUCUUUUUUUUAAGAUACCCUUUUUCGGGUUUUCAUCUUGAUUUUUUCAAGCAUAAUAUUUCUUCACAGCAUCUGAAUUUACUGGAUUCGGUAACUCCUUCCCAUCCAUCUCGGUGAGAAUCAAAGCUCCACCUGAGAAAGCCUUCUUUACGACGUAUGGUCCUUCCCAAUUUGGUGCCCAUUUUCCUCGCAGAUCUUUUUGUAUUGGGAGGAUCUUUCUCAACACGAGUUCUCCUUCGUGGAAUUCUCUCGGCCGUACCUUCUUGUCAUGGGCCGCGAUCAUUCUCUUCUGGUACAUCUGUCCGUGACAAAUUGCCUUUAAACGUUUUUCUUCGAUGAGGUUUAACUGGUCAUAUCGAGCUUGAACCCAUUCUGCUUCCUCUAAUUUCAACUUCAUUAAGACUUGUAGAGAAGGGAUCUCAACUUCGAUAGGUAGCACAGCUUCCAUUCCAUAGACCAAAAAGAAAGGAGUUGCUCCCGUAGAUGUCCGUACAGAUGUGCGAUAUGCAUACAAAGCAAAUGGUAGCUUCUCGUGCCAGUCUUUAUAUGUCUCGGUCAUUUUCCUAAUAAUCUUCUUAAUAUUCUUGUUGGCCGCUUCAACAGCUCCGUUCAUUUUCAGGCGAUAGGGCAAUGAGUUAUGAUGCUUUAUUCGAAAUUGCUCGCACACUUCCUUCAUCAUCUUAUUGUUCAGAUUCAAGGCAUUAUCUAAAAUGAUCCUUUUAGGCAAACCAUAUCGACAAAUGAUUUCCUUUUUCAAAAACCUGCAAACUGCAAUUUUUGUCACAUUGGCAAAUGAAACAGCUUCUGUCCAUUUUGUGAAGUAAUCAAUAACCACAAAAAUGAACCGGUGUCCAUUAGAAGCUUUUGGGGAGAUUGGCCCUAUAACAUCCAUGCCCCACAUAGAAAAAGGCCACGGAGAAAUCAUGACAUGAAGGGGCGAAGGGGCUACGUGAAUUUUAUCACCAUAAAUUUGACAUUUGUGGCACUUUCGUGCAAAACUAAUGCAGUCACUUUCCAUUGUCAGCCAGUAAUAACCGUGUCUUAUAAUCUUCCUGGACAUAGCGAAACCAUUGGCAUGUGUCCCACAAAUUCCUUCAUGGACAUCUUCGAGUAUUUUUCUGGCUUCAACAGAAUCUACGCAUCUCAAGAGCACCUGAUCUUUUCCUCUUUUGUACAGGAUGUCCCCAUCGAGAACAAAUCCUGCUGCCAUUCUUCUGAUUGUUCUUUUGUUGUUCUCAUUUACUUGUUCGGGAUAUUUUUGAUUCUUGAUAUAUUCUAAGACAUCAUGGAACCAUGGCCGACCAUCUGGCUCUUUUUCAAUGCUGAAACAAUGUGCAGGGACUUCAUAUAUGCUCAUUUGAAGAGGCAUUAUUUUUGUUUCUCUGUUCGCUUUGAACAUUGAAGCCAAAGUGGCCAGAGCAUUAGCCAAUUGGUUUUCUUCUCGCGGGAAGUAAUUAAAAGUUAUUUCUUUGAAUUCUUUGAUCAGUCCUGCCACUAGAUCGCUGUAUUUGACUAAUUUCGAAUCUCUCACUUCCCAAUCUCCACGGAUUUGGUAAAUCACCAAUGCUGAGUCUCCGUAUACCUCUAAAGUUUUGAUGUUUCGUUCGAUUACUGCACAAAGUCCCAUGAUACAGGCCUCAUAUUCCGCUAUGUUGUUGGUACAGAAGAAAUUCAACUUGGCAGUGAACGGAUAAUGGUUCCCUUCUGGUGAUACCAAGACUGCUCCAAUCCCAUGCCCCAAGGCAUUCGAUGCACCAUCAAAGCUCAUCUUCCAUGAUUUUUCUUUUGAUGACUCGCACUCUUUUUCUGUAAUACACAUCAAGUCUUCAUCUAGGAAAUCAAAUCUCAAUGGCUCAUAUUUCUCUGUUGUUCGAGUUGCUAAAAAAUCAGCUAUUGCACUCCCUUUUAUCGACUUUUGGCUCACAUAGACGAUGUCAUAUUCUGACAGUAGGAUUUGCCAUCGUGUCAUUCUUCCUGAGAGUGCAGGUGAUUCCAUCAUGUACUUUAUUGGAUCUAGCUUUGAAAUUAACCAUGUCGUAUGAUACAACAUAUAUUGCCUAAGUCUCCGAGCUACCCAAACCAGAGCGCAACAAUAUUUUUCAAUGGACGAAUACUUUGCCUCGUGUUCAUUGAACUUUUUGCUGAGGUAGUAGAUCGCUUUUUCUUUCUUUUUUCCUGACUUGUUGUGUUGCCCUAACACGUAACCCAUUAACUUUUCGAACACAGUCAAAUACAGUAUCAAUGGUCUUCCCGGAGUUGGCGGUACUAGCACUGGAGGACUAGACAAAUAUUGUUUUAUCUUAUCAAAGGCCACCUGGCAUUCCUCAUUCCAUUCUCCUGGGUUAUGUUUUCGAAGGAGUCGAAAGAUUAGGUCGCAUUGGUUGGUAAGUUGAGCGAUAAAUCGGGUGAUGUAGUUUAAUCUCCCUAAAAAUCCUCUGACUUCCUUUUGCGUGCGCGGGGGUGGUAACUCUUGAAUGGCUUUUUUUUAUUUGGAUCAACCUCGAUACCUCUUUCACUGACAAUGAAGCCUAGCAACUUUCUAGAGGUAACCCCAAACGUACAUUUGGCAGGAUUGAGCUUUAGCUGAAACUUUCUCAGUCUGUCAAACAACUUCUUCAGGUUCGCUACAUGCUCUUCUUCCCCUCGGGACUUAGCAAUCAUAUCGUCGACGUAGACCUCUAUUUCUCUAUGCAUCAUGUCAUGGAAUAACGUCACCAUAGCCCUCUAAUAUGUUACCUCAACAUUCUUUAACCCAAAUGGCAUUACCUUGUAGUAGAAUGUUCCCUAAAUUGUUAUGAAAGUGGUUUUCUCCAUAUCCUCAGGGGCCAUCUUGAUCUGAUUGUACCCGAGAAUCCAUCCAUGAAAAAAAACAAUGAAUGCUUUGUUGUGUUAUCCACCAACGUAUCAAUGUGUGGCAAGGAAAAAUUAUCUUUAGGACUUGCUCGAUUCAGGUCACGAUAAUCCACGCACAUUCGUACUUUGCCGUCUUCCUUUGGUACCGGGACUAUGUUAGCCACCCAUUCUGGAUAUUUGGAGGUUUGUAAGAAGCCAGCAUCGAAUUGCUUCUUGACUUCCUCUUUUAUCUUUAACAGCAUUUCAGGUCUCAUUCGUCUUAGCUUUUGUUGAAUGGGUUUGCAUUCUGGCUUUAAUGGGAGUUUAUGGACCACUACAUCUUCACCCAAUCCUGGCAUAUCCUGAUAUGACCAUGCGAAUACAUCUUUGUACUCGCGAAGCAAAGCAAUCAAAUUGUGCCUGGUACCCCCUGAAAUAGAGGUGCCAAUCUUCACUUCUUGUUUCUUUUCCUCAGUUCCCAAAUUUAUUGUUUCAACAGAUUCUUGAUGAGGUAAAAUCUGUUUAUCCUCUUGUUCCACCAUUCUUAGCAAGUCAGGAGAUGAGACAUAUUUUUCAGCAUUUUCUUCGGCUUCGAAUUCUCCUAAACAAACAGCCUUCUCAAAAUCGAUUUCAGGACUCGCAACAGGUUUGUUCAUGCCGUUGAUAUCUGAGCAGCUGAAAGUUGAAUGGAAAAGAAAACUAUAGAGGGGCAUCCAAGUAUUGGAACCAACAAACGAAAUGUUAUGGCAUGGCAUGAGCCAAAUGUAAGGAUAGGCUAUGAAAUGAGAAAAUGAUUAUGAAAUUAGUGAAAAUGCGAAAGAUCGUGACAAAAUGCAUCUUCAUUGAUGUUCAUUUAAAUGAUAAAAAGCAAAUCAUAAGCUCUUACAAAAGAAUCCCUACUAUUACUUAGGGGCACAUAAAAAGAAUAGCGUUAAUAUUGAGCGUUACUCUGGAGAAGAUUUAGAAACUACAAGGAGCUCCACAGCAGUCCAAUUGUUCAAAACAAAUACAGGAGGACAAGGGCGUAUCGUUGAAACAUCUUUAAUUGCAUCACUUCCUUUGUCAAUAACAUUUAUACUGACAUUCUGAAGACCCCUUUCAAUUAAUAACAUCGUACUUCGUGGACUAUCUUCCCCGGGGUAUAUCAUUCCUGCAGAUGUAAAUGUUUUUGACAAAGGAGGGUACGUUAUGGGCUUCCAUUCUAAUUCUCGGCCUAAAUUUCUUGCGAUCCUUCUUUCCUGAUCUUUUUUCCAUUAUUUUCUUCUUUGACGUAUGUCCGGCUGGAACCCCAGACCGUAUCGGGCCUUGUGGUGUACUGGCUUUAAAGCCCUAACUAUUCCUUGCAGAUAUCUCCCUAAACAUUUUCUCACUCGAGCUCCCUUUCCUACAGUCAAUUUGACACCUAUUCUAGUAUUUCUUGACAGUUUUGGCAUCGGAAUUCUGUUUCCCUCAGCGACAAAAGUGGCAUUGACAAAUUCAAUGGAUCGGAAGGAACAUUCUAUUGCAUCUUUACUCACUUCAAUGUAUGGUGCGUCGGUAGAAAUAGAUGCUACAAUGUCUUUUUCUCCCUCGACAGUGACCAAACAACCAUCCAUGAUAAAUUUCACCUUUUGAUGGAGGGAUGAUGGGACCGCUCAAGCGAAAUGGAUCCAAGGUCUUCCCAAAAGGAAGUUAUAUGAGGGUGUAAUGUCCAUGACUUGGAACUCGAUAUUGUAUAUAUAGGGACCCACUUCUAGAGGGAUCUCGAUUUUUCCCAUGACUUCUCGUAUUGUCCCGUCGAAUGCCCUUACUGUGGAAUGACAGGGCCUUAAAUAGGAUAGAUUUAUUAGAAUUCUGGACAGCGUGGCUAAAGGCAUGACAUUGAGUACCGACCCAUUAUCGAUAAGCACGUUCGGUAUUAUGUAGCCAUUGUAGCGAGUCGUAAUAUGUAGUGCUUUCACCGAGCCUCUACCGUUUGGCGGUAUCUCAUCAUCACUAAAAGAGACGAAAUUGUCCUUGUUCAGAUUGUUCACCCACCUAUCAAGCUUCUCAGCUGAUAUGUUAUUUGCCACGUAAGCUUGAUUUAGCACUUUCAGCAAAGCGUUCCGGUGUGGCUCUGAAUUUAACAAUAGAGAUAAAACUGAGAUUCGCGCUGGUUGCUUAUUCAAUUGUUCCACCACAUUGUAUUCACUAUGCUUGAUAAAUUUCAAAAACUCCAGUGCUUCCUCCUCUCCCACAGGCUUUUUAGUUUCUGGUUCAGACGCAGUUUCAUGCUCAUCUUCGGUCACGUGCAUUGGUGCUUUUCCUUUCUGUUUCAAGUCACUAUUCUUCUUUGCCGACUCGACUUCUUUAGAAUAGCACCGCCCACUGCGGGUAAAAUGGCCUACCUCCCCAACAUCUCCAGUUGUGGCUUCGAACUUUUCACCUUCAGGUGUGACGAUAUUGACGUCAUAUUUCCACGGUACCGCCUUGUCUUCCUUGUAAGGGAAAAGAGAUGGUACUUUGAUUAUCACUUUCAGUUUCAUCGGCUCCUUCUUCAUGUCGUAAUAAAUUACUAACGGUCGAUUAGCACUAUAAGGGAGACCUGAUGAUUGGCUGUCAGAGGCGCAUACUUCUCUUUCGUUGGCCUCUUCCCUUUUGUUAAGGACCUUAAUCUCCUUAUUAUCCAUCCGGUCUUGAAGAAACCUUUUAAAUUCCUCACACGAUUGAAUGUCGUGUCCUACAAUUCCAUGAAAAUCGUAAAAUCUUUGACCUUUUUCUCCGAAAAUUCUAUCGGGGUGACAGAGCAAUCAUUUCUUAAUCAGAACCUCCCAUAUUUUUUGCAGAGGUGUCCUUAUUUCCGAAACAUAUUUUCUGACUUGUCAUUCGUCCUCUUUCCCUUAUUUUCGAAACAUAUUUUCUGACUUGCCAUUCGUCCUCUUUCCCCACUGUGGUUACAUUCCCUUCGGUAUGGUUAGGGAACGGGUUCCCAGUUGCAUUACUCGAACUAUCGAAUCGUAGGAUGCCCGCAUCAAUGAGUCCUUGAACUCUCCUCUUAAAGGCUAGGCAAUUCUCCGUGGAAUGCCCCUAGUUCCCAGCAUGGUACAACUAACGUUUGGAUCGUACCACUUCGGGUAUGGAGGUUUAAAGGGUGCCAUGUAAUGAGGAGAUAUUAGUUGUUUUUCCAAAAUUUUUGGGUAUAAUUCCCCACACGACACAGGGAUAGGAGUAAAUUGCAGUCUCUCGAGAUUGGGUCUUGGUUCGUUUCUGGGUUGGCUUUGAGUGGAUACAGUGUUUUGUGGGAAUGUGGUGACGAGUCAUUGGUUGUUCGUGGCGUAUACGGGGUAGGAAGGAGGUGGUGCUUGGUAAUAAGGGGUUUGAGGGGGAUAAUAGAAAUUUGGAGGUGGAUAAUUUCGAGGUCGGGGUGGGUUUGGAUAUGGAUUAGGGGUAUAUAACGGCUUCCCAUUCCCACCAUAUGGGCUUCUGGUUCUUUCUUCUUCAUGGGGGCUACCCUUCUUGAACUUUCUUGACCUUCCAUUCUACCGCUCUUGACGGCAUUCUCUAUAAGCUCACCGGAUAUUACAAUAUCCGCAAGUCUUUCGUGGCACUUCCCACUAGUUUGUCAUAAAAUGGCACUUUAAGGUGUUGAUAAAGAGAACGGUUAUCUCCAUUUUGUUAGUGGGGUUUCACUUGGGCCGAGACGUCCCUCCAUCUCUGCGCAUACUGUCUAAAAGUUUCUGACGGCUUUUUCUCCAUCAUUUACAAAGUCAUCCGGUCUGGCACCAUAUCCGAUACAUGCUUGUACUGCUCACAGAAUGCUGAUGCCAAGUCUUUCUAGGAUCGAAUCUUUUCCUUACUAAGCUGGUUGUACCACCGAAAUAGCCGAUCCUCAGGUAUGGCACCAUUCCGAUACAUGCUUGUACUGCUCACAGAAUGCUGAUGCCAAGUCUUUCUAGGAUGAAUCUUUUUCCUUUACUAAGCUGGUUGUACCACCGGAAUAGCCGAUCCUACUAGACUAUCUGAAAACACAUGGUAUGAGUAGCUAUCUUUGUCAUAUAACCGGUCAUCUUCCGGAAGAACAUGAUGAGAUGCGCUUUUGGGCAUCUCGUCCCAUUGCACUUUUCAAAAUUAGACACCUUGAACUUCAACAAGGAAAAAUUAGAUCGGGUACCAAACCUGAGUUCCUUAUUGCACCUAGUGCAGAGAAGACUUCAGUGCCUUCUAUCGCUUUGAGUCUUUCCUCUAGGCUCCUAUAUAUUCUCAUUCGCAUUGUGAUUAUCCAAUUUCAACCUGGCUAUCUCUGCUGGAUCGUCCAAAUUUGGAAUGAGUGGAUCGGUAAGACUAGCCCCCGGGUUUGAUACGAACAUUCUUUGCCCCAAAUUAGCAGGUGGCGCAGGUCGUUACUCCAGGCCGGUAGUUUCCCAUUGAACGUACCCUCUUUGUGUUGCAUGGGCGUGCGGUGGAGUAAAUCCUGGAGGAUGAGGUGGAUCCUGAUCGAGGUUAACCCUUGACUGUGGUUCCACAACGUCAGGGUUCAUAGGUCCCUUUCCUUUUACCAGAGUCGACAUCAUUUCCAUCAUCUUGGCUAUUUGAUCCUUCUGUUCAAGUGAUUCUUCUCGAGAUCUCACUAUCAGAUCUCUGGUUUCUUGCUAUGACUUAGCCAGUUGUUCUUGUAAUUCCCUUUGUAUUCUUUCCAUCCUCUCAAUCCUUUCGUUAAAUUCAGCCUCCAUUACUCUAGCUUGAUGGCGCGUCUUAUAUGAGUGACGUGAUUCCAGGCUUGUGGUAUUACAACUGCCAAUUGUAUGUUUUAAUCUUAGCGAAUGAUUAUGGGAUAUGCAAUGAAUGAAUAAAUGAAUGCAUAAAUAAUGCCAAUCAUGAAAGAAAUGCAAGAAAUUAGUGUUGAUUUCAAGAUAGCCCCUAUUUAGGCAUUUCAUUCAUCAAAAGAGUUCAUUACAAAACAUUUUGCCACUUUCGAUUAAGCUAUUACACAAACUUCCUAGCUAUAUCUCCAUAUUUCUUUACUCGUGCUAAGAAUUCUGAUAUGUUCGAUCUUCGACUUGGAGGGAAUUGGCAAAUGAGAAUUUCAGCUUCUUCCGAUAGUUGUACCACGUGCAUGGCUACCCCACGAAUUUCAAUUAUCAAACAGCUAAGUUGCAUUUCUUUUUCUUGGAGGCCCUCUUCGUAAGCACGAAUGUCUCUAUCAUAUUGACUAUUCUUUUCUUCCAAAGCCGUCAAGAGAGUAUCUAGCUGUUGUUGACGAUCUUGCAGCAUAUCUUCUAAAUCCCGUAUCCUUUCGUUUAGUUCUUGACGUUUAGAUCAACUAGUCAUUACCUCGGCAGACAUAGCUUCAUAUUUGGUGUUCUUCUUCCUUAGCUCCAUCAUAGCCCGCGUAGCCUUUUCCUCCUCUUUCUUCGCUUUUCCUUUCCAAAAUUCCAUCCCGCCUUUAAUGUUGCUUAUUUCUUCUUUCCAUUCUGCCGACGAAUUGGCCAGCCUACUAUUCUUUAUUGCACUUCUUAACUUCUUAUUUUCCAGAUGAAGAUCUCUUAAGUCAUUUCUUACGACUUCAGCCUCUUUUUGUACUUUCUCAGUUCUGGAUCUUUCAAUCUGAACGUCGAUCUUCAAUUGGUAGUUUUCCUCUUAAAGAGCACUAAGGUCCCAAGACAUCUUGGUAUUUUCGCGUUCAAACUCUUAUCUUGCCGCUUCUAACUUAGACGACAUUUUCUUCAAGAAGGGAUUCUAAAAGGCGUAACUCAUUGACGAAACUCGCUGGCUAUUCACCCGUUGCAUUCUCCAUACGUCGUAAUCUUGAGUGAGAGUAUCAGCAUACAGGGCCAACUCCAUCAGAUGAACUUCCUUCCAAGAUUUUGCAGUGCCUCGGACCCUCUUCAUAUAGCCUUCACCCGCAAAAGUAAACUCGGACUGCGCUAUUUCCUCCAGUGGCGGGAAUAAAUUGUCGUAAAUAAAAUUGCCUCUGGACCAUUAAUGGAACGUAUCCAAUUCCUCCCCAUAGCCCGAGUAGUGGUACCCAAUCUUGAUUUCCAACCUUGUAUAACAGAACCGAAGGGCGGAUCCACGGUGCUCUCUAAGUUACAUCUUCAGCUCGAAGGUUCUGAAAAACUGAAGCCCAAUAUUCUUCGGUGACAUCCUUUGGCCAUUCUCUCUCAAUAUAGGCUUCCAAUGGGGCGAAGGUUUUCGAAAAUAUGUGGUACGGUGUGCGCUCUACUUUCCAGAAAUGGCUCAAAAUCCAGACACUGAGUAACUGCGCGCAUCCGAUAAAUCGUCCUUCUCCUUUCCUCCGACAACUACUCAGGGAUCUGAAGGUCUCGACUAGGAUAGUCGGGACAGGGUUGAUUCCUUAUUUUAAUUUUUCGAAGAAAUCCACCACUGCAACUUCUAUGUGUCCAAGGACUUUUGGGAAGAUGAUCAAACCGUAAAUGGCCAAAGCGAAUAGAUUUACCCUUUUCAACAUGUCAGGAUGGUUCAGAACCAAUUCUCGUAGGGGAGACCAUGGAAUGCAAAUGGUUUCAUUCUUUUUCUUUAUUUUUUCGGCCCAUGCGUCAGUCAUGUCUGUCAAUCUUACUAACUUCUUCUUGAAGGUCAUCGGCUUAGGCUCCUUCACAUAUACUUUAUAGAAUUACACAUUUUCAACACGAAGAAAAGCAACGUACUCUCUAUAGUCGGAGUCAUAUCUUCUCGAUUGAAGGUAAAACAUUGGUAAGCCGGAUCCCAAAAUCUGACCAUGGCUUGGAUCAAUUGUUCGUCUACGUUGACAGCAAUCAAGUUGGCUAUGUCUCCAUAUCUUUCAGUGUAGAUACCCCUAGUGUCUGAGUCCCACUGAUUCCAAACCCGAACCAAAUCCUCAAGGUUAUUCUGGAAAACAUUCAGAGUUACAUGCUCGGGCAGAUUGACAAUACAUCCCUCCACUAGACUAUCCCCUUUUUCUUUUUGAGUUUUUAGAGACCAGUCCCGAACCACGGCAUUCUUCUUGGUUGUUUAUGUAAUUGACUCUUCCAUCUGAAACCCGUUUUUUGGCAACCGAUCUCUAGUCAACACCUUUCCUAAUAUGAUGCCUAUAAUGCAUGAUGAAAAAUAAUGAUAAGACAAACAGCCUUGGUUAGUAAUCACAACAAGUAUAAAUUACGGUAAAUUCAGAUAAAAAGUGCAAAUAUCAAAGAGAUAAAAGGUAAGAAGUGCGUCUCCCAUGUACUUAUUUUGGUGACUAUUAACGGACAGAGGUUCAGCAUGGCUCUAAUUAGGUGGCUCAUAUGGUUCACAAUAUGCGGUUUCUGCUCUAGAUAGGUACUCGAAUUAUUCGUACUAUCGUCUACUAAGACUACUACGAAGCCUCGAUCGUAGCCCAUCACAGGCUCACAAGUUCAAUUCGAGGGAUUACAUUUACUUAUGCCUAUGUGGAGGGACAAGUUAACUCACGAAAGCAUAAGUCAUAUGUAACCUGAAAGUAUUCACUAGCCUGUGCGGAGGGACGAGUUAACUCACGAAGGCAUAGCGUUUACUUUCACUUAAACGGACGGAGCCCAAGUAGAGAGCUCAUGUUAUGCAAAAUGCAGGUGCACGGUGUGUGGGGAGAAACUCACAAACCUUUACGUUUUAUUUAAAAACUAAACUACAAAAACCUAAAAACUUAGAGCUGAAAAUCAACAAGAUAAAACAAGUUAGAAGAAUAUUUACAGCAUGAUGCAAAGGCAUGAAUUUUUGAAAACAAAAUUUGAGGAUCACGACUAAACAUUAAUUUGAACAAGGAAGUUCAAAAAUUUUGACAACACGAGUUUAAUUCCAGACACGACUCUCAAAAAGAAGUCCUCAGUGGAGUCACCAGCUGUAGCGACGUAAAAAAAUUUUGCUUCCGGUCGCUAAUUGUGGCGAUUUAAUGAAAAGUUGAAAACUAAAGUUUAAUUUUGAAAUAAAGUGGGAGUCGUCACCAAUCUUUUUUUUAGGUGUGAUCGGACACCUAAUAAAUCAUCUUUUUGAAAAGAAAAUUUAUUCUCGAACAAAAACGAAGGCUAAAUUUAAGUCUACGUCAAAAGCCAGAUAAAAAUCAGGGUUCGGGAGUCGGUUACGCGUGAUGAAGGUAGUAGCACCCUCGUGAUGCCCAAAAUUGGUAUCUUAUAAACACGUGUUGUCUUGAUUUUCAAAAAUUCGAGUUCAAUGCAAGAUUUAGUCGUGAUCCAGUUGAAAAGACAAGAAAUUUUAGUUUUUUUGGUGUUUUAGAAGGGCAUACUGUUUUAACACGAGUCGAUUGAUGUUCACCCAACAUAGCGAUGAAAUCGACGACUUAGUAUUAAACCGACACGUUGCCUCAUGUAUUGAAAUUAAUUAGAAAACAAGAAUAAGAAUUUCGAACUCAUGCAAAGCAAAUAAAUAAAUGACAGAGCUAGAAAUAUAUUGACACAAAUACAAGUGUGACAAUAAUAUUAAAAAUAACAAAGAUAUAUGCGAUAUUAGACAUAAUACUAGAAUUAAACACGAAAUAGAAACAAUGAUUGCACAUACAUAAUGAUGAUGUUAAGAGUAUGUACGUAAUAUAGGAAUGAAAAAUAUUUACAUAAUAAUACUAAAUAUAGGUACAUAAUAUAUAUAUAUAUGCAUAACAUAUUUAAAAUGAACACAUACAAUAUACACAUAUAAUAGACACACACUAAUAAUAAUAGUAAUAAUAGUAAUAAUAGAAAGAUAUAUAUAUACCAAAUAACACCUAACAAUAUGAUAAGUAGCAAAAUGGAAAAUAAUAAGUAUAUUAAUGAGCAUAAUAAAAUAAUGCUAUAAAAAUAUAUAUACACGUAAAAUAUAUGUAAUAAUAUCAGUAAUAAGUAUAAUAGGAAUAAAAUAAAUGUAAUAAUGAGAUAUACAAGAUACAUACAUAAAUACAAGGUUUAAAAGGCAUAUAUAUACGUAAUAUAUAAAAACGUAUAUAUAAUGUUAAAACAUUUACAUAACAUAUACACACAUAAUUAUAAUGUUAAAAAACACACUUAAUAUUAAUAACAAUAUUAAUAUUACAUAAAGGUAUACCUAUAUAUACAUUAAAGAUAUAUACAUAUAUAAUAAAAUACAUGAAUAAUAUGAUAUUAAAAAUAUACGUAAUACGUAUAAUAAAAAUAAUAUACAUAAUAUAAGAAUAUAGGAGUAUAGGAGUAUUAAAAAUAUAAAUAAAAUAAUGAAGAAAUGAAUAAAAAUAAUAUGCACAAUAAUAUAAUAAGAAAAUAUUAUAAUAAGUACUAAAAAAUAUCUAUAUAUAUAUACAUGUAUAAUAAUGAAUAAUAUGAUAUACGAAAAAUAGUAAUAAUAAAAAGUAUAUAUAUAUGUGUAAUAAAAUAUAUGUACUAAUAUUAAUAAUAAAUAUAAAUAAUAUAUACUUAAAAAAACAUAGAUAUAUAAAACAUAGUACUAAAAUAUACAUAUAAUAUGUAAGAAUAUAUAUAUGUAAUAAAGUAUUAAAAAUUUGUACAUGAUGCAUAUAAUAUGAUGUUAAGAGUAUACAUAUGAAAUAUGAUAUUAAAGGUAUGUAUACGUAGUACAAAGAAUGUAUAUAUAUAAUAUAGCAUUAAAAUAUAUGCAUAAUAAAUUAAAGAAUAAUAAUGUUAUAAGCAACUAGUAAUAAUACUUCAUAAAUAUAUAUACAUACUAAAAAUAUACAUAAUAAUAAUAUAUACAUACAAAGUACACUAAUAUUUAAAAAUAAUAACAGUAAAUAUAAUAUUAAUAUUAAAUAAAAUUAAUAUUACAAAUUUAAUUUGACAGCAAAAAUGACAAAAAGGACUAAAUUCGGAUUAAAAACAAAGUUUAGGGAAAAUCUGAAAUAAAAAAAGAAAAGAGAACAACCUAUUUCAACGCGCGCAAAUAGUGGGGGGACUAAAAACGAAAUAAACCCAUUCAAUCAAAUCGCACAAUAUUAUGGGGACUAAAUUGAAAACCAUGGAAAAUUAUGGGGCUGAAUUAAAAAAUGACAAAAGACUUAAUUGCAAAACGUUUAAAAAGCAGAGGGGUUAAAAGCACAAAUAACCCCUCCCUUAAAAAACACACGGAUCCUGCUCGGAGUGGGUCGGGUCGACCCGACCUGGGGCCAAAACGACGUUGUUUUAUUGUUUAAACCGGGGGACCAAAACGCACCGUUUUGGUCCCUUAUAAAAGAUAAAAAAAUUUCAAAAAUUUCAUUUGGGACCAGGGAAAGAAAAAAAAGAAAGAGAGGGGGGAGAGAAAAGGGGUUCCGGCCAAGGGGCACGGUGGCCGGAAAAUCGAAAGGUAUGAUUUUUCUUCCCUUUUUUAAAAAAAAAAUUGGUUUUAUAUUUUUUAUAUGUUUUAGUAUAUAUAUGUGAAAAAUAGGCCUAGAAAACGAAACUAAAACAAAAAAAAUAUUACCUUAGAUUUCUAGUUUUUGAUUUUUGAUAUCUUUGAUUCUCUGAUUUUGAGUGUUCGAAUCACUGCUUGUAUAUGUAUUGUACUCUAACUUAGGUAUUGAUUUUCCUUGAACAUUCGAAUAAACACCAAAAAGAAAAAAAAAAGAAAAAGAGCCGACCCUUUUACAAUGCUUUUCGUGGCUUUUUAUAGCCUUUACAUGGUCUGUUUCUUAUUGUUGCGUGUCUGCUUGACCUUGCAGGUGAGUUGGUGGCCAGUGGAGGUGACCAUGGGGUAGGUGGCGCCAGGGGAUGGUGUUGGCAGAGGCAAGUGGGAGGGUGGUUGCGGCGCUGAGGCAAGUGGGGAGAGGCUAGGGUUUGUGAUAGCUUUUUUGAAUUUGGUUUAGCGUUUGGGUGUAAUUGGGUUGUUGGGUAUUUGGGUUUUUUGGUGGGUUAGUUUAGGUGGGCUCGGGUAGGUUGAUGUGUAUUGGGCUGAUGGUUGUAAAUGUAUUUGGGCUAAGGGUGGGUUAGAUGGUUUAAGGGGUUUAAUGUAUUGGAUUUAUUUGUUGGGUCAAAAUUGGGUAGGUUAGUUGUAAUGUAUUUGGUUGAUGGGUUAUUUUGCUUUGGGUUUUAUUGGUUUAAUGUAAAUAGGUCAUGGAUAAAAUUGGGCUAUAACAAUUAUAUAUACAAAUUUUAAUUUAGUGUAAUUAUAUACGUGAAAUUCUUUUUUUUUUGAAAGCUAAAUUCAUUAAUUCAUUAAAUGAAUGAAACCAUACAAUUCAAGGGAAAAAGGGAAAAAAAUAACAAACACUCGUCGUAGAUGGUGAAAGACAAGCUCCAUCAAUACAACAAAGGUUUUAGCCUCAAUACCAAUAGAACAUCAUGACACGUUGACAAUUGGCUUUGUCAUAACUCAAGUACGACAUAUUUGGAGUGCUUGCAAACACUUAAUAAGGAAAUCAACCCCGAAUGAUCCAAAGCGGCGAGCAAAAAUCGACAAAAGAAUCGAGCAUUCACCGAACUAAAGAGAAUGACAACAGAACCAUCCUUAAAAUCACUUGUAAAACUAAUGUUACAUGCAUAAGACUAAAAAAUGUUCUUUUAAGACUAAAAAUUUAUUAAACAAAAGAAAACAAACAAAAGAAAACAUAUAAAACUUAAGACAACACAGGUCCAAAUCGAUCCAUGAAAUAAUUUAUUAUUCUAAAAAACUACUGAUGGCUGGUGGAGUUUUAGCGAACAACUGACGUCGUCAUCUGUCCGCCACAACUUGUUAAAACAAUAAAUAUACCCACAAAAUAGAUCUGCAAACUAAAAAGAGAGAAGAUAUGUGGAGUGAAUGAGAAGAAUAAAGAAAGAAAGAGUUGGUGGGAGAGAGAAAAAGGCAGACGAUAGCUAAUCUCACUGGGCAAAACAUAAGAUAAGAAGCAAACGGCUUGAAAAAGAAAAACUAUACACGUGAAAUUUUAAUUGUUGUUCAAAUAUAUACUUAAAACUUUAAUUUUAAUUUAAUCCUACGCAUUUAAAGAAAUAAAUAUAUCAAUUUAUUUUUAUAUUGGACAAAUAUAAUUAUUUAUAUAAGUAUUAUAUAAAUAUAAAAUAAUAUUAUAUCAAUAAUUGUGUUAAUAAUUUAUAAAAAUUGAAUUAAAUAAAAAAUUAUAAAAAAUUAAAAUUCAUAUACAUAAUUUUACAUUAAAUCAUAUUUAAUGUAACUUUGAACGGAAUAAUAAUAGUCAUACAACGUGUGGUUGAAAAUCCAGUUUGAUUUUGUUGAAACUAUAAACUCGUUUUCCCAUCAUCAAGUAAUUUAAAAGAAAAAAAUUCAAAAAAAGGAAAAGAAAUUAUAAUUCAGUUUAAUUGUUAUUGACGCUGUAAAGAAAGCGAGGAAAAAAGAAAGCUGGAAAGUGUAAAGAAAUACGAAGCCAAGCAAUGGAACCGGGUAACGAAAAACAACAUUAAAAAGGAUGAAAAUGAAGGGAAGGUUGGAAACGCAAAAAGUCAAUAAAAUAAAAAUAAAAACCAAAAACUUUAAUCUUUCUAAAAUAUUAUUUUUACAUAUGAUUUUGUAAUGAAUUAAUUUAAUUAAUAAUAUUUAAUUACUUUUAUGACUUAUAUUUAGAAAAUAAUAUUUCUUUUUGCUUAUUUUAAAAAAAUAUAUAUUUUUAUGAGAGUUUUUGCUUAUAUUUCUAAUUUUAAAUUUAACUUUUUAUGUUAAUUAAGUCUUAACUCGAUUGGCAUGAGCAUUGUUUUCAAUGUACAGACCCAAAUCUGCCUGCGCUUACACCAUAUCAAAACCAAAAUAAAAAGGCAAAACAAAACAACAAAAUAAAAAUCCAAUAAUAAGUGUCCAUAGUCCAUUUUACAACAACCCAACAACUAAACCAAGCCCAAAUAAACCCUAACACAAAUUGGCCCAAAAUCUAAAAUUUCUAGAAAACCUUGGCAUCAUUCUUGCGCCGCUGCUGCCUUCGUGCCAGCUUCCACGCGCGCCGUUGCUUCAUGCUCCACACCCACGAACGGCUUUUCCACACCAUGCACACCUGCAACAGACUACAAACAAAGGAGCAAUGGGCAACAAAUGACAGCAAUGAAAAUUUGUAUUUUCUUUUUUUAUUUAUUUUAUUUUUUCGGCUAUAAAACUGAAUGAAAACAAUGUAAAUGGGAUCUCUUUUUUGGGUAGAAAUAUACACGCAUAUUUACGCAUACAAAUCAAUACCAAAAAAUGUGAAAAAAGAACAGCUUUCAAGUGGUAAUUUGAAAUAUCAUUUUUCUUUUCAUUUUGCUCUUAUCUCUUUGAUUUUCAUUAUUAUAUGAGUAAAAAAAAAGAAUAAAGGAGAGGGAGGAUACUUAUCGUGAUUAAAGCCCUCGAAUCCUUGUUUGCUUUGAAGAAAUCAAAGCUCAAAUAGGGAUCGAGUGGUUUAAGAAUGGCAAAACCCUCGGAUUUGUGGUCGAACAGGGUCGAUCAGGCCUUCGUGCGACGCCGUUCGCUGAUUACGGAGGCAAAGUGGUGGUUGAGUGAGGAUUUAAGUUCAGCCGAAUGAAGAAGGGAGAUAGGCUUUAGGUUUUUUUAUUUUGAUUUGCUUUUAAGUGGCUGAAUGUUAGUUUUAGGGUUCUUUUUUUUACACAAAGUAUAAAACGACGCCGUUUAAGGGGAGGGGGUCCGCGCGUCAACCCACUCGGAAGCCCGGAUCGGCGCCUGUGCGCUUGAAAUGGGUAAAUUGUGCCCUUCGUCCCUCCCUCUCGCGCUGCUACCUGAUUGGGGCCCUCUGCGCAUUUUCUUUGUUUUUUAAUUUUUUCCCUGAGAUUUACGCAUGAUUGCAAUUUAAUCCGCGGCUAAACGCAAUGUUUUGAUAUUUGGGAUAUUUUCAAUUUUGAUCCUUAAUCAUUUGUGCGCGUACUAUUUCAAUCCUCAGCUCAGUUUUAUUGAUUUGUCUAUUUAUAAAUUAUCCUUCCAAUUUUGUUUUUAUUUCAAUUUAGUUUAUUCUAUGUGUUAUAUUCUUUUGGAUUUAUUUGUUUAGUUAUUUAUGUAAUUAUUUUUUUUAAAAACCUAUUAUUUUAACAUAUUAUUUUGAAC
rnacentral:lncRNA from 1 species